UCGGCGCUCAUGUCCAAGUAGCCAAGGAUUGGGAGCUUUUCACGGUUGACGACGUUGAUCUUACCAGCAUCGCUGCUGAAGAAAUCGGCGUGGAGUGGUUUCUCCAGGUUGUGCUUGAUCUUCAUGCUGCAGUAGGUCUCUUCGAUUCCGUUUUCUUCGUCGUUGAUGUUGUACCUGCCUCCUUUAGAUUGGCGCCACCUGUCCAUCUCCUGCAUCUGUUGUUCUUCCUCGGUAACGAAGCUCAUCUGUUCCUGGCAUCUGACGAUACUACCCCUGUUGUCGUUCUGCAUCCUCCUGACGGUCUCCGUUGGAACGUUGAACGCCUCGGCGAUCAGCUCCUCGUCGAAUCCUUGAAAGACGUUGGCUGAUGACAUAAGUGACUGCCCACCAGCUUCCCUUCCUUCCCCUAUCUGGUAAGUCCUCCUCCCCCAUGUCUGCCUGCUCUGCCUUUGCUGAUCGGAUUGCCCUCCUCCCAGCAAGAACCGCUGAAAACAGAGCAUCGUCAGCUCUCGGAAAAAAACUGAGCAUCGUCGUAUAGUACUUAGCGAUCCAAAUUAGUGGCAAGUGAGGAAGUUAAUAUAGAGAGUGAGGGAAGUGGACCCUGAGGUUUUGAUCGAGCUGGUUGUCGUCGUUGUUGAGGUCAACAAGGGUGACGUAGACGAGGUCCUGGUUACCGUCGUUGUAGCCCCAAGUAGCAACGCCGGCAGGGAUGGCGAUGACGUCACCCUCGCGAAUCCUGUGGAUCUUUUGGUGCUCGUCUCCUCCGCUUCCUCCCAUCAUCCUCCUCGAUCCCCUCUGCUGUUGUCCUUGUGCCUGCCCGCUGUGGUACAUCGCCGGGCAUCCCGGGAAGUUCAACCCCAACACUCCGCUCCCUGUACAAAAAAAUUUCAAAUUUCAAAAUAUCUUAGGGUGUGUGUGGAUAGGUGAAUUUGCAUUGUGGGUAUUUCAAAUUCAAAAAUGUACCUUGUUGGACAUAGACGAGGCGAGGGGCGGGGAAGAACUUGGGGACGGAGAGGGAUUGGGGCUGGAUGCAAUCACGGAACGGAGCGACGCCGGCGCAGAUGAACUGUUCCUCGUGGGGGUUCCACAUCUCGGUGACUCCACCUUCGGAUUGCAGGUGGAAGUUAGGCUGGACUGGGGAGAUGCGGUCGAGGUUGCAUUGCUGAGCCAGGUACUCCAGAGGAGUGAUCGUCGUCCGGCCUUGAUCGUGCUCGGCGGAAGUGGCGGCGGCGGCGAGACAAGAGAGGACAAGGAAUGCGGCGGCUAGUUUGGUUGCCAUCAUGAGUAAAUAAAGCUGAAGUUGGAGAUGAUGGAGUGAAGUCGGAGAAGGGCGGGAGGGUUUUUAUAUAGUAGCAUAGCCGGCGGUGCAUGGUAAUUGCAUGGCGUAAGAAGAAGAGUAAACAAAUGAUAAAGGUGACACAUUGCCAAUGGAGGGGGAAUGAGGUGGUGAUGAGUUCUUGAGUAGGUGGCGGUGUGGCGCCUGAGAAUCAUUUUCGGCCCACCAUUUGUCUGAAGAAAACUAACACCACCUCCUCUGCAUCUGCUCUGUUUGUCUGAGCUUCGCUUCGUCAUAUCUCACUUUGUUUCGUGUUUGUGUCAGUCUCGGCGGUGGAAAUUUGGGGUUCUCGUUCUUCAUCGUCAACGGUGAAAGAUGAUGUUUUUACUACAUCCAUCAUUAUAAGCUGAUAGAUGGAUCAAAUGGCAAGGGAUUGAAGUUUACGCUGAUGAGUUUUAUACCCCCUACAAAUUGAACAAUUACUAUAUGCAUACUAUACUAGUAUCAAUCAUUUUUUUUGUGAAAAAAUGGUACCGAAGCGCGCUGAAAUAUCAUUAAAAUUUUCAUUUUAUUUUAGAUAGCGAGAUACUUAUAAGACCAUAAUGUAUGGGACGGGCCUUGAUCCGGAGAAUAAAAAAACGCAAACUAUAAUCAAAACAAUUGUCUAAGUUAGUCAAAUAAUUCGUAUCAUUAUUAACUUCGCGGUAAAUAUGGGACAACUCCACUUCCCAUUGAUGACUAAAGUUACUUGACUUGAAUUGCAAAACAAGGAUGGCAUGUUUGUUACAUAGCCAUACAUUACUGUUUACUAAUAGUUUAAAGACUAAAUACCAUCUUUGUUUUUCAUCCACAACACCCAUUUCACAUAGCCAUACUGGUAUUAUUCUCUAGAGAAUGGUCGGUUUAUAAACCAACUCCGAGGUGGAUGAGGAUGAAGGUGAAGAAAAAGAAAGUAUCUGGAUGUUAAAGUUUAAUUGCCCAAAAAGAAAUACUCAUUAAGUGUAAGACCCACAAUCAUUGCUUAGCAUGGUGCUUUACAACAUUGCUCGUUGCAGCAGCCAUUACUUUAUUGACGACACAUAAUUUGAAAAGUUAAAAGAAAAACAGAGAAGAUAUGUGAAGAAGGUUUCUGAAGUACUUUCAGUAGUCCAUCAGUUUAAACUUCUUCUUCUGAUCACCCAGCUGCCAUCAAGUCUUGAGUACUGGUUUAUGGAAUUGGAUUUUUAUGAUCUAAUUAAGCAAGGGCAGUGCAGAGCCAUUGGCCAACAAAGAUAGUAGCGCAGUUGAUGUUAGGAUUGAUUGUCAAAAAAUCCUUCAGUUUCAGCCCAAACUGCCCUGCCACCGAUGUGCAUGUGUCUCCACCUUGUGUUCCAUAAACUGUGCUGCACUCCAGUUUAGGCGUAGCCUGAGCCAACCUUCGCCCGCCACUCAUCAUUGCUGUAUAUAAAUAUAUGAAUUAUAAGUUAGGGAUGAAAAGUCUUAAGAAAUUUAGAUUGCAAUUUGUUUUCGCAACAUAUUUCGUCGAAAUACUCAAAAUUUCAUUUAACUUUCCACCUAUCAAACUUAGCGAAUACAACUAUAUAUAUAAGUACAGAGCACUUACCAGUGGUACUGAGAACCAGAGUGGAGAUAAGAAGAAACAUAAUGAUGGUUUUGGUGCUGACGGUUGCCAUAGUAGCGGUGAUCUUGGUUUCUUUUUCUUCUCCUUUCUCUUUUGUUUCUCAAGGUUGUGUAGGAUUGGUUUGAAGAAUAUGAUAAGCUCUGUCCUUUUUAUAGUCGGAAAAUUGUAUGUUGUAAUUUGGAGGAGGAGAUGGAAACAAUGGAGCUGGCACGGGCGGCGGUAACAUUAAUUUCUCAGUCCGGCGAGGACGACAAGGGCAAACAUACACACAGGGGAUUAAUCUUCAUACGUACGGAGAUAACAAGGUGAUCAAAUGAGCAUGUUGUUCACAGGCUUAGUUAUUUUAUUGUGGAAUUUAUUCUUCUGAUGAAAGUUGCAUAGAAGUUUACGAAAAAAUACUUGUGAGUCUCAGACUUGAGUAACUAGCUCUAAUAAGAAGUAUCAAAGCUUCUUCAUUUGAUCCACACACAGUGGUGCGACGGUUUUCGAAGGCCCUGUGUCAAAAUUUAAAUUGUGGCCUAAAAUAAAAGUUUUGUGGAUUUUUAUUAUUUGUAUUAUUAAUUAUAAUAAAAAUUGAGAUUUUUAUUAUAAUCCACCACCGGCAACACUAUCAUCAGCUCUUCAGAGUUCUUCUGCAGUCUAGGCUUCACGUAGCCACUUAGCUGCUAUGUGUUCCUAUUCUGAGGUCACCUUGACCCUCAGAGAAGCGUCCCACUUAUGUGUGUUCUUGUCCGCCGGGAUGGUGAAUAGCAAGUCACAAUAUUUGUCGGUAUGACGCUGGAUCCACAUAUGUAAUAGAACGUUUGCAAACGUUCAUACUUAUACUUGCAGGUUGCGCUAACAUCAUCGUGUAGCAGUACCUUCUUUUCCCGGCGUAGAGGCUUACGGGUAUCUAACUCCACACGAAUUUGCAUAUAUGCUCCGGCUUUGAAUUGCUUAUGGUUCAACUGGUCAUAUGAAUGAUAGUGGCCAUCAAAAUUUCCUAGGAAACGACCAACCUCCUCCAAGAAGUAUCCCCAUGGGAGUCGAUGGAUUUGGAUCCAAAAGGGGACACGAUGCAGUUCUACCAGCUUUGGAUCCUCACCCUCUUUGAGUUUCUGCAAGAUCAGCAAGGAUCUGUUGUAGUGCCAAGGACCUUUAGCCAUAACCCGUUUCACAUCCAGCUCGUGACGGAAACAAAACAAGUAACGACCGCCAUGCAGAUCUUCGACCGUCAUUGUGCGCCCUGGCUUCCAACUUAUGGCCAUGGUUCGUUUCAUGGCAACGAAAUUUAUUUGCUUGUCACCAAGAAACGAGCCAACGAGACAUAGUGGGUAUGCAUGUGAAGGAGGAACGGGAACUAGUUCCGUUACCGAUGAUUCCUCGUCUUCGCUUUCUCCGAGAUUCAAGUUCUGUACCAGAAGCGUGACGAGCGCGCUUGAAUCAUCCUCCAAAAGCUCCUGCCUUGCGAUCGGUAGUGUUGUUGGACCUUUGCUUGGCUUCAUCGGAGGAGCAACUCCGCGAGCCACCGUCCACAGAGACGAUUUCUUUAGCUCGAGGCUUGUGGUAGUCUCCAACGUUUUGGAAGUUCCGGUUGUAGCUCUAGCUGCGUCGGCUUCGGUGGCUUUGGUGGGUGGUGGGGUCUGAAUCUGGAGCUAGAGAAUUGGAAAACAGCUUUCGGAUUCGAUCUAGAAAGUCCGCAUAAAUCUCAACCGUCCAAAAAUCAUAUAUUAGAUCUAACGGCUGAUAUAUAAGGGCAAACUUGACAUUACAUAACCAUACAAAUGUGUAUACUAAUUAUUGAACUAAUACAAUAUUUAGUAUUUACACUUUGUACAAAAAUUCAUAUAAAUGUAUAUACACUUAUGUCCAUGUUUAUACAAACCUAUACACAUUUGCAUGAUCCGUGCAAAGCUGUACAGUCGGUGGUUGUAAAAUAUUUAUAAAAAAAAUCUUUUUCCAAAUACGUAGAAUCGACGUGCCGGUGAUCAUGUGGGUGCAAAAAUUGUUAUUAACAGAAGUAUGAAUCAGCGUGAAAUUGAUUGGAAAUUUUCUGAUCAUCGGAGACGCUAGUCCAGUAUUCGAAGAUAGUUGGGUUCUUGUCUAACGAAAUCUUGAUAUGUCGGAUGAUAGUUGGGUUGUUGUCCAAUAAAAAAUCUAAAACAACAACGACCAUAUUGCCUCCGAUCAACAUUAACCCUUAAAUCAUGUGAAAAUUCAAAGGUCUAGAUUGUUUAUGGAUCGGAGCUAAUCUAGAUGCAAUAUCCCUGCUCCCGACUCCCAUUCUCUAGUUACAAAUUACAAUACAAAUUUAGUGACAACUUGUCAACAUGACUGCGUAAGAAGAAAGCAGUGUAGGAAUCCUCUGCCUCCUCUGCCUACUCUUGAAGAAAUGUACACUCCGAGCGUAAGAAGUAAGCUAGCUCAACUCAGCUAAGUCCCCCUAAAGAGAAUAUGAAUACGAAUCCUCAAAAACCAACUUCACUUCACAUUAUUUGCACACGCUUUAUCCACACAAACCAACAUCUCUUUCCCUUGUUAUAAAACCACUUCCCUUUCACCCUUCUUAAACAUCAUCAUCAUCAUCAUCCGUUAGUUAUGUCGUCGUGCUUCAACCUCAGGCUUCCCCACCCAAACAAGGCAUGGAAGAGCUUCACUUCCAAGCUCCGUACAAAACUCCACAAGCUCCACAAGAACCCCAAAUCCCUCAAGAAGAGAAAACCCAAACAUAUGAUCUCGUCCACCUCUAGUACUCUCACUUACCCUAUCAUCAUCAAUCCUGCCGCAACUUCCGUUCCUUCUAAUUCUCUUUCGAAGGAGUACCGGAAGAUCAGGCGGGGAAGACUGGAGAUCAGUCUGCCUCGCCGUGGUCUUCCGUUCAAACGGAAGAGCAGCAGGCGGCUCCGUUUCUACAACAGGAGCUGCUCUGCAGCGCCUGUCUUUGUCAACAGGCUCUUCGUAGUAGAGCCCCCGAUUAUGGAGGUGCUGACGACGACUCAGUGUGAGGCGUCGUCAAGUGGGGAGAAGACUAAUGAGUUGAUGGCAGCUGGGACGAGCGGGGAGGAGGAGGGUGGAGCUGAUGAGAUGUGGGAGUCGUUGGGAUAUGAAUCGCCUCUGAUGAGGGGGAUUGAUGAGAGGGCUGACGAGUUCAUUUCUAGUUUCAGGGCUGAGAUGCUAGUUCAGGAGAGGAUGAUUUCCCUUCGUAGCUUGUAGCACUCAUUGGUUGAAUUGCACAAUUAGCCAACUGCACGUACAAUUACUGCUGUUGUAAAUUCCCCAACUGCUGAAAAAUUAAGACUUUGCUUCCAAGAACGUUGAUGCUGCUUCAACUUCUCAGUUUGGCCACUAUUUUAUCUCUUGGAUUCAUUUGUCCACAUCACUAACAUCAUCUGAAUUCUGGCUAUUGGUUCCAACUCUUUUAGCUGCUUCUUAAGCUCUUGCUUCAUAUUAUCAUUCUUGAUGUAGCUGCAUAUAUCUUAUGUACAUUGGGAAAUCUGGAGUGGGAUUCGGCGAGUUCUGGUCAAGUCCACCUUCACGUCUAAUCUAGAUAUACAAAAUAUAUGUAUUUCCCUGAACGUUAACAAAUGAGACUAGUUAUUUUACGAUUUCAGCCCAUCACCAUUUUUUACUUCACGAACUCUAGAACACAAAAACUUUUCAACAAUGAAAUUUGUGAAGACUAUUUCGUGCAACAAAAUAAUCUAACUAGGUUAGAUGGCUUGGCUGCAAAUACUUUAUUCGAAUUCGGUAAGACUUUUCUCACUCGUAAGUUAUAUGGUGAUUGCAUAUGUAUGUUUUAAAAAAAUUAAAAAUCUAAAAUCUCAUAGCAUAUAUUCCAUUUAUUAUAUUGAAUUAACUUCGAGAAGAAAUAAAGAGACAAGAAAAAGUAAGAAAAUGAUCACAAAACCUCUGAAAUAAAGAGGUAAUGUGAUCCGUCAAAUGGAACAUUUAAAUGAACGGUGUUGAUUUUUCUUUGCUGCUGAACCUGGGAUGGAUUAUUAGUAUACGGGCCUUAGAUCUUGCGCAGAGAUUGGGCUUCAGUGGUUUGCAUUCUUUUUUGCAGCUAAAAAUAUUUUGAACCAGUUCAAGGAUGUCAUGCUGGUCCAUCUGUACAAAUAUAUGAUGUUUUAGUUGACUAACUUUUCAGUUGUAGGAAAUGAGUUCUUCAUAAACUUCCAAUCUUGACAUAAGGAACCAAUUAGUAUGGAAUCAAUCCUGGUUCAGCCCGAGCGAUGAUUCCAAGCGGUGCUGAAUGUUGACUUUGGGAAUGAUUCUGGGCUGAAGAACAUGACAAUAACCAAUAACAUCUGAAGCCAGGGUUAAAAGAUGUGUUUCUUUCUCCGAUUGAUCGUCGCUGAUCUCUAAAGUAAAUUUUGUCAACUUUGAACAGCCAAAAUCAAACACUAGUCGCUAUUUCCGAUCGAAACCGCAGUACCCAGAAGAAACAAACUCAAGUUCUCAACCUCCUCCUCCUCCUCUCUCUAAUAAAGCCAAAUUCCCAGAAGUUAAAACAAAUACAAAAAGGCUCAAAUUGAUGGAAGCGCUGAUAAUUCCCCAUCCCCAGUCAAAAAGUUGUACCAAAAAUCCAUGCUACUAUAGUCCACGUUUGAAUCCCCCACCAGGGCUGCCGCUGCAGCCGCCUCUCCUUCCUGGUCAUCGCCGCCGCCCACAGUACCACUACUAUUUACCAACGAAUCAAACCGAAACAACCCCGAUCCCAGUUCCGGUUCAACCGCGCUGCUCGAAUUCUCCGCCGACAACACCUCCGACCAGAAACUCUCGUCCAUUUCCUCGUUAUUCAAAUAUUCCUCCCUCGACGAAACAUCCUCCGCCUUCACCGCAUCGUUGUUCUCCCCCGUCGUCGCUGUCGUCAGUGAUGACGCGUCGUCGCUGGAGCAGUACUCCACCGGUACCGGCACCGCCGUUGAAUCUGCAGGUUCCCCUGCCGCCUGAUCCGAUUUAAUAAUGCUGCUGAUGCUCUUGGUUUUCUUACCGGAGGGUGAUCUCCGCUUAUUAGUCACCGGAUGAGGCAGUGGAUUAUUCUGCUGAUCGUCGUUUUGCUUCGUCGGCGACGUUGUCAUCAGCAUCGCCCUCUUCUUCAAGUGGGUGUGCCAUACAUUUUUAAUCUCGUUGUCCGUACGCCCCGGCAAUUUCGCCGCAAUCGUCGACCACCUGUCCGCACAACAGUGACAACAAACAGUCUUUAAUUGAACGUUUCGAUCAUCAACACAAGGCUAACAACUCUACGUGUUACAAGAAUUAAAUAUCUAUGUUAGUAAAAGAUAAUCUGUGUUGGUCACGUGACAUGAGAGUGAUGAACAGAGUACUGCAAAUCUUGUUUGCAAGUGCUUAAAUAUACAAAACUGACAAAAAAUUGAAGGAACCGGAACGAUGGUUAUAGUAUCCAGACAAUUAAUUACUCUCUGCCAGGGAGAUUCCCAUCAACCUUGGGAAAAUAACACACUCUCCUCAAAUUAUGAAACCCUCACAUGAGAUGUGGGCAAUAUCUACUGUGCUGUACACCCUACAUUAUUGUACUCAGUAAUCACAGAUCUCUGCUCUGGGAAAAAUCAGUAAUUUCUUUUUAUAAAAAUAUUUGCAGAGCAGAGCAUAUCUCUGACCCUGAAUUGGACGAUCAAGAUCAGACAGAAAAACAUGUAAAGAAGACAUCCACUUGCUCUAGUCAGAUCAACAAAAAUUUUAAGGCAGCUACCAAAUUAAACCACGCACAUACCUGUUUCCUAACAUGUUGUGCAAUUCGAUGAUUGUGUCUUCCUCUUCACGGGUGAAAUUUCCUCGUUUGAUGUCAGGCCUCAAGUAAUUUGUCCAUCGCAGCCUGCAACUCUUCCCGCACCUCAACAAUCCUGCAAAUCAUUGUGAUCAAAAAGUGAGUAUCUCCGCAAUCAUCCUGUCGGAAUCUAACUUUUCUAUCCAGCCAGAAAAAAAAAACAAGUUACCGGCAAGCUUGGGGAGGGCUCGCCAGUUGCCGUGGCCGUAUAGCUGAAUGUAAUUGGUGAGGAUAUGGUCUUCUUCAGAGGUCCAAGGUCCCUUCUUCAGACCCAUCUUCUCACAGCAUGGAGCUCUCCCCAUUUUUGUUAUCAAAAGCACAGAGUAAAGAAGAGAGAAAGAUUCUUUCUCUGUUCCUGCUCUCUGCUUCAGAUCUUUUUCUCUGGUCUUGCUCUCCUGUUUCAGUGAGAGGAGGAAAUGGAAGCCGCCCCCCAGAAAAAAGUUGGCUUAAAAUGAAAACAAGGGUGAAAGAGGCUCAUAUAAAUAUAAGGGGUACCAUGACAAAAGCAUGUUGCCAUCUUAUUUUUUUUCAAUUCUUUUUCAUUUUUUAUAUAAUAAGACAAAAUCAUUCUCACUAUUGUUUUUUAUAUAUCAUUAUUUUCAUAUUUUUACUUUACUAAACUAAAGCAAAACUAAAUUGAAGGAUAUACUCAUUAAGAUUCUGAAUUUAUCUUUUAUAUAUGAUAAUUUUUUCCUCCCAACAUGAUCGAAUAACUAAAUUAUUAAAAUUUUAUCACGGAUCGAUCGAUUAAAGAAAAAAAAUAGGUGUCAUGUCAUGAUAAGACACGACCAUAACGUUCUACAAUAUAUUUAUGUUGAUAUUUGGUGCAUAUUACUCACUAUCAUCUGGAUAAAAAAGAGAAAAUUUACAAAUUGAGACCCAUUAGUAUAAUCGAUGUGAAAUCAAACAAGUAUAACUGAUUAAUUGUACAGUUUUGAACUCUAAAAUAUUAAGAUGAUUAGUGAGGUUGAGAUCCAAAGUGGUUGAUGACAUUUAAUUAUUAUUAUUAUUAUGAUUAUUAAUAUUGCGAGUGGGGUAGAAUUAAAAAGCACGAAAAAGGAAAAACAAAUCGGCCUACAAUUUCCAGGAAAAUCACUCCUCCUUUUUCUAGGGUGCAAGCAAAUGAUGUGAUUGGUUACACAGUCAAAUAAAACGUGCGCAAUUUGCCUUAGUAGACCAGUGUAAUAUUACUAUCAAAAUGUUUGGUUCUUUUAACCUGCGAGUUAGUGCAUGAACAUGUGAAUAAGCUGCCUCAUCUGAAAUUUCUUUUUUUAUUUUUAUUUUGUAAAUCUACCAUAUAUAUAUUUUCUAUAAUCAUAUAAUAUAUAACCAAUUAUGAACAAAUUGCAAUACAUCUCUUUCCUUUUAAGUCAAAUAUCAUAUUCUUACAAUCCAUAUUGUUUUAUAAUUAUUUCUUUUUUGUCUAAAAAUAAAAUGUGCAAUAAGUUCAUAAAUAACACUUUCUGGUCGACUGGUUUUGCAGUCGAUUAGCAUUUGGAAUUAGAAAUUUCAUUCUUCCAUGAGAAAUAACUCUAGAAGCUUCUUUAUCGAGGGUUAAUUAGUGGUCGAGUGAACAUUUUGUAACAAUAAAAUUGAAUUAUUUCUUGGCUUAUAAGCUUCUAUAUGUUGAACUGACUAGGAAUACNNNNNNNNNNNNNNNNNNNNNNNNNNNNNNNNNNNNNNNNNNNNNNNNNNNNNGUUCUGUGAUAAAUCACGUCCUUGUUUUUAAUCAAUUACCUAUUGGUACAAUUUUGACUCCUAUAUUGUAGAACAAAUGAUAAUAUUUCAUGUUUAUGCAUGUUUGCAAUGGGGCAGAUCAUUUAAUUUGGUCCGACUUAAAUUCCAUUUAUGUGAACCAACAAUUGUGGAUCGAUCGAACUUGAUAAUUCGAAUUAAAUUUGUCGACACAUCAUUUACAUAUUAUCUAUAGUUGUUAUAUUUUUACUGUAUUAUUUAGCAUCUCGUCUAUGCAUAUAUCUAUACCUUCUUCUUCGCAAUUUCUGAUUGUUACUCGAUAUAAUGAUAAUCAAUUUGAACUGGGUUUGAACUGAAUCAAAGUUAACCAUUGAACUGCAUGCAGCUACAUAUAUAUCUUGAAUUAGAAUAAACAAUUAGAAAACAAAAAUAUAUACUUGAAUAUUGUUGGUGGGGGGGAAGAAACAAAUGUAUAUUAUGAGCUAUGAGUGGCCGCCUUUGAUUACAAGGUUGAACUCAAUCGUGAAGUGAGUAGUGAUGGUUGUGGGGCAUGGGUAGGUCCGAUCCACAACUCCAAAACUAUCAAUUUGGGGGGGUUGAAUUACAAUGAACCAAAAUGGAUUUUUGGUGUGGGUUUGAUUAUAAAGGCUCUCACUAAUAGUGUCACUUGUUGACUCUAUGGGGGAGUUUUGUACACAUUAAUUGAUAUUAUGUUUCCAUCAAUAUCACUAAUAUAAUAAAAACAAGUUGUAAAGUAUAUAUUUAUGGGCCAAGUCGAUAGAGGAGGCUUUGAUACGUGAUCAUUUUGUUUAUACUGGUUAACUCAUCGAAAGAGUGGUGGAUAUUUCUUGGCCGACAUUAAAAAAAUUCUUUUUUGCUACGGCAUAUAUUUGUCGUAGCUAAUAAUUGCAAUCGCUACAGCAAAAUAGGUGCAGUAGCUAAUAAUAUUCAAAUUUCUACGGCGUCCGAUUACUGUAGUAAAUGGCGCAACAAAUGACAUUUUCUUUUGCAACAUGGGGUGUGCCGUAGACAAAGGUAAUAAAACAAUAAUGGUGAUCAGAUUCCGAACAGUUCAUAGCUUACUCAAAGGUGUCAAGGGUAAAAUCAGAAAUCAUAUCAGUAACACUGAUGGCAAACUCAGCAAUAAUAGAAGUAUAUCUAGGGUUGGAAAUCCUAUUUCUAGGAACUCUAUCCCUAACAAGUUGGUAAUCAUUCAAAUUAGGCUUAGCAUCCAAAUGCAAAUCAGGAUCAAGUUGCCCAACAGAGGGAGGAUUACCAUUACCAGUACCACUUUCAUCAUGUAAAGGAAUCAGAUUAUUUGAGUUAUUGAUAGAUGAAGGUGAGGAUAUACUUAGUGAUCCCCCACCUGAUUGGUGAGAGGUGCCAUCGGAGUUGCCAGAGUCAUUAGACUCAUGAACAGAGGAAGGGUCAUUCGUGAGAGGUUGCCCUUAUAACCUAGUUGCAGGGAACGUUUCUGAGUGACAAAGAUCAAACUUCUCUUCCUUUGGAGGGUUAUGACCUUCUUCCGGAGCAAAGAAUUGCCCUAGGGGUACCGAUUGGGCAUUGGUACCUUCUUCACUACAUGCACUCUCAACAGAAGCAGUUAGUUUAUCCUUGAAAUAGAACUCCUUUCAUUGAAGGUUACAUCCCUUGACAUUAUGAUCUUGUAUCCGUUGGGAAGUAUAAGGAGUAACUUGUACCCUUUUACCCCUUCUGGAUAACCAAACAUUACAGCUUUAUGAGCUCUAGGAUUUAAUUUUUCUUGAGACAACAUGGAGUAAGCAGUACAACCAAAUGAUGUUAGAUGACUCGGGUUAGGGUGUUUCCCUUUUUAGAGCUCCUGAGGUAUCUUGAAUCCUACAUCAGAUGAAGGAGAUCUGGUUAUAAGGUAAGCAGCAGUGGUUAUUGCUUCACCCCAUAAACUGGUCUUCAUCUAAGAAUUAAUGAACAUACACCUUACCUUUUCAAGCAAGGUUCUGUUCAUUUUUUUUUUUUGCGGUUCCAUUCUGUUGAGGAGUUCCGGGCACAGUUAAAAGCCUCUUAAUGUCAUUAUAUUGGCUGAAAGAGUUAAAAACAUUAUUACAGAACUCAAGGUCAUUAUAAAUUUUAAAGAUUUGAAUGGAAGGACCAGACUGAGUUUCAACUAAAUAGUUUUACCUAUUAAUAUUUAUUUUAUUUUCAUUGUUGAUCGUAUUUUGUCAUUACACACUUUAUAUGAUCUGCUGAAAUUUUUUCCAUCUCAAUUAAUUGUAAAUAAAAGAUAAGCGAUCUAGUGCUAUAGUUUUUAAAAACAAAAUUAUUUAGGAUUAUUACAUUUAUUAGUUAGCAUUUGAACAAACAUUUGGGUUUCCUAAGAGCCAAUGAUGAACAAUCCAUUGAAAUGAUUACCUACCGACAGCUAAACCCCCUACUUUCUUAAUUAAACAAAUGGUUGAUGACCUUGCUUUAAUUUCCUUUCGGGUUAUAUUAUAAAUACAUAGAUUUUCAUGUCACCUUAAUGUAUAUACAUCAUGCUUUUGGCGCAUGGGAGCAAGGAUCUUCAUAUGAUCUACUAAGGUGCUUAUCCACCAUCAUCAAAUCGAUUGGGUAUCGGAAUUUUUCAGGUUAAUUUGAGGUUCAAAAUGAGUACUAGUGAUGGAGAUUUUUAAGACAUGAUUUAAUUUAAAAAUAUCCUAAAAAGAUAAUACGAAAUAUAAAUAACAUAUGAGAUGAUCAUUACAAGGCUCUUGUGCGGUGCAGUUGUUGCCGUUGGAGUUAAUAGUUGUAUUGCGCGGCGCUACCCAACCAACGUCGUGCAGAGCCCUAUAAAUGUAAUGGCUAUCCCAUGUUAUUUACGUUUCCUAUUGUCUUCAUAUGAUAUUUCGAAUUAAAUUAUAUUUAAAAACAAAUUCCAAUAAUGACGGAAUCAAGAUCAAAACAUAUAUUGAGCCAAAUUUAAAUUAUAUAUAUUGAGUAAUAUUGAGAAAACAUUUUUUUAUCAUUAGUAACAUGUACACUUUUUUAAAGCUAAUAUAUUAAGUUAAAUUUAUAAAGAAAAACAUUCAUUCUACUACUAACAAAUAACAACCUAUCAUCUAAUUAUUUAUUUCUAGACUGUAACACAAAAAAGAAUGGUGGGUUCUCAUUAGCAAACUGUCAAAAAUGGCGGUAAAUUAAACAAAUCAUGCAUGAUAACAAGUUUUGUAGAAAAAUAUGAUUGAAGAGAGGUAAUUAAUAAUAAUAAUAAUCAAUUUAGGGCUGAUUUCUGGGCAGGUUUCUGGGCUGAUUUCUUGGCAGGUUUCUGGUCAGGUUUUUUUCAAAUAAAAUAAGUGCAAGUUGGGCGGAAAUAUGUAAGAAUCAAAGUGGUGUAGCAGAGUAGAAUUUAUGAGUAUUGUCUAAGUAAACUGAUUGAUAUUAGCUACAGAUUAAUUAGUCAAAGUCAAUGGAUACGACCAAAUGAGACCACAUAUACUUUUGUCUCCAACUAAUAAUUGAGAUUCGGAUUACUGGAGUUUGGUGAGUCUGGAUCUGGAGUCACAGGAAUCAUUUCUGGAUCCGAUUCAGAAAACUCGCAUAUUAUUAAUCGUAAAACAAUUAUACUUUAGAUCUAAUAGUUAAAAAUAUAGAGUAAAAUUGAUAUUUUACAUCCAUGUUUAGUAUUAUACUUUAUACUUAGCAUUUGUAUGAUCCGUACAAUUCUCAUUGGUUCUUACAAAGUUGUAUAACCGAUCAUCGAAAAAUAUUUUCAGAAAAUAAAAACUUUCUAGAGCCAACGACUAUAAAAAAUUUUGUCAAUAAAAGUUGGAAUCGCCGGAAAAUUAGUCGAAAAACUUAUCGAUAACUAAAAACGAUCGUCCGAAAAUAAAAAAUAAUUAAAUUAUGAUCCGACAAAAAUAUUUAAAAUAAUCUGAUUAAUCUUAAUUCUUAAAAUAUGUUGAAAUAUGAGGGUACCGGAUUGGUAUCUAAUUGAGUUUGGUAAGCAAGGAUAGUUUUGUCCUUUUCUAAUAUUUGGUUUUCUGUGCCCGUCACUGUUAAGUUGGUGGAAAUUGAAAAUUGGGUAUCCCUUUUGUCGCUCUCUGCUUAAUUAAUAUUUAGUUUUUCUUUAAAAGUUGUUUGAAAUUGAGAUUUGUAUCGAGAUGAUUUGAAAUAAUUAAUAAUUAAUUAUUUUAAAUAUUUAGUGAUUUGAUAAAUAUUUUAUUUUAACAAAAAUUGAAAGUAAUUUUAAUGUUUUAAACAAAAAAAUGUAAAUUAAUUUAUUUAGAAAAAUAUUAAAUUACCUUCUAAUUCUAUUAAUGGUCUUUUUAAUUUUUUAUACUAAUGACAUUUGUUGUAAUUUGUAAGUUUUAAUUAGAUCAUUAUGUCAUGAUUUGUUGUAAAAUUUUCGACAAAAAAUGAUUAAAAUAUUAUGUUUUUGUUUUCUCUCGAAUGAGGGCCUCCAAUUAGUUAGGGCUCACCGUCGCUACCCGAUUCCGCCGCUCCUUUUCCGGCGACAUCCCCAUCUUCACUCCAAAUCCCAUUAUCCCCGCCCCCUUUACUCAGCCGUUUCUCAUAUCCCGCCUCACCUUUCUCAAUCCCGGAUUUCAAUCCCUUAAACCCAUCCCCAAAUCCCCUUAUUACUUCCCCCAAUACAAUGCAGGGCGCCAAGACCCUAGAAACUUGGUCCAGGCAGGUUGUAACCUUUCGACCUGCCCAUCAUCAUGAUCGUCUUUAGUUGGAACUGCCGGGGGCUUGGCCAACCCUGCUAGCUCAAAGUCAAUACUGACUAUACCACCCUCUAAUUCGAGCUCCGAUGGGGAAAUCCGGUACAAUAGUCCGACAAAGAAGCACAAUGCAGAGCGCCAAGACCCUAGAAACUUGGCCCAGGCAGGUUGUAACCUUUCGACCUGCCCAUCAUCAUGAUCGUCCUUAGUUGGAACUGUCGGGGCUCGACCAACCCCGGCCAGCUCAAAGUCAAUACUGAUUUUGCGACUUUUUACCCCCAACAUGCUUUGUGGCACCAGCUUCAUCUUGCGAAACUUUACAGGACAAGUUCUAAGAUUCCAAGCAAACACUAUUCCUCGUAGGUUGACUCUAACGGAAGGUGAACUCUUCGCUCUACUCAUUGCCAACAACCUUUCUCAUGUCAUCUUCGAGACAGGAUUCUCUCGCAGCUUGUAAUGCAAUCUGCAACAGCGUCAAUGAUUUUACUGAGAAAGGCCGUCUUGCCCGGCUUUGUGAGCACUUUCUUUCUUGUAAUACCACAUGUGAGGUGAUUUUCGUGAGGAGAAUUAUGGAUAGGGUCGCCUACGAGCUUAUUCGUCGCUCUCGUUCCCUAAUUUCACCCUUUUCGGAGAUAGCUACUCUUACUUGGUUGCGUGAUUUUGUAUCCCCAUUUGCUACAAGGAGCAUUAAUAAAAUUCAUUAACCUUUAAAAAAAAAUUAAAUAAAUAUGUCAUUUUGUAUUCAAAUCACUCUUAAAAUUUUCAAAUCACAUUUCAAAUCUCCAUCAUUUUUAAAAAUCAAAAUCAAAUAAGAAAUCUUGUCCAAAUCAAACCAUCAAUUCCCUUCAAAUACCUCCAAAUACAAAAAUCAAACCACCUCUUAAUAAAAAUGAUCCAAGUAAAUUAGCUAGCCGAUGGAACAUAAUUAAUCUACAAUGUUCGCCGAAUGUUUGUUAUUGUGAGCAUGUUCAUCUACAGUGCGGGAAUUUGGGUUCAACUGGCUAGUGAUUGUCACUUGGUCCAGUCAUUUAGUUGUUUCUCACAAGAAUCAGGUAAUUAUGCAAUUUAGUGAAGUUAAAAAUGAUUUAGGAUUAAAAAAAGAGAAAUGAAAGAUGUAUAAGAUAAAUUGUCACAAAUAACAUGAAGGAGACAAAAUUUGUAAUCUAAUGUUAGCGUAUAGUAUUCUCAUCUCAACAAUAAUUUAAAACUAUUCUAACCAUCAAUUUGAGACGGUUUAUCAAAAUCUUACCGUAUAUAUUAUGAUGAGCAAAAACUUAGUUGCGAUGGGAUAAGUGCUUUUUGGGUUUUGGUACUUGGUCGCCUAAGAAAUACUAAGCAAUCUAUCUCCAAAUAGAGCAUACUAGAGCUAGACAAUCAUACUAACAUAGUUAAUUUAAUAAGGUACCUUUAUCUUAACCCUCGUGCUAACGGACAUAUUAGUGAUAAUCUAAAUAUUGGAAAAUAAAUUGAAGAAAAUAAUAAAUCCAAAAAGAUGAUGAUGUCAAAAUUGUUUUUGCUGAAUUGUGUUCGAAUACGGUUGAAUCCGUCGCCAUCAUGAUCACCAAAUUUAUUUUGAUAAGUAAGUAUGCAUGAUGAGUGACCAUAUUCUAAUUAAUUAAAAUACUUGGGGUGUAAUUGUCCAACUUUCACAUUGGUGUGGUGGGGACUGGCGGCAGACAUUUUGAACAAUAAUUGUACUUUGUUUCCAAUAAUAUUGUUAAUAUCAUUAAUGUAGGUGAUCACAUCAGCUACUAAUUUUCUGAAAGAAUUUAUUCUAUUAAUAAUUAUGAUAAGCCGAUAAGGUACACCACUGAGUGGAAUUGAUUAGCUGCCUAGUACGGUCUAUGGCUGCGCUACAAUAAAAGUCAUAAAAAAAAGUUACUUAAUUUCUAGUCAUUAGCAUUAUCAGAUAUUACAAUAAACAUUUGUAUGUCAUUUUGAUGUCUCCCGGCGAUGGAGGAGUCGCUGCAUCAGCACGCUCGUCUCGUGUUUCAGUUUCACAGUCUCCUAUCGCGUGACUGGAUUGUCCCUCUUGAUGACCCUGAGAUUCAACUCUGGCUUUUUGUAUGAUACUAUUUAGGCCCCAACCCCAAAUUUGCAUCCUACUAAAAUUUAUCAAUUCUUUGCUUCAUCUAAAAUCAAAUUGUCUAAAUGUUAAAUAUGUACGGUUUUGCAGAAGUUAUGCAUAAUUGACAGUUCAACUCGGCCGUCGUAUCUAUAACCAGUACAAUCUUUAAGUUGGUUCAAGACUAUUUGUCAAACUGUGUAUCGAAAAUUUAGUAGUGCAACGACUAUAAUCUAUCUUUUAUGACAUAUCACCUCCAUUCAGUAAUCAAAAUGCACAAAACAGAAUGCUCAUAACCAAACUCGAACUCGAACACGGCCACAGAACAAGACACGUUAGAAAGUUAUCUAACUACUUUGAGGAUCGUUACCACUUUGAACGAGUUGGAAAUGUGAUAAAGGCAAAGCAACCUACUUAAAAACUAUGCCCUAAUCAGUUUAUAAAAGAAGCCUUUUUUCCAUCUGCAUAAUGUAGAACAAAACUGAGACUAGAAAAAAGCCUGCUAGCAGGCAAAACGGGUUCCGGUUCCAUCCAGAAAGCGAUCAGUAUGCCAGCCUUUGGCAUGCAACUCGGACGUGAACUUAUCGAAUACACUGUCCAUCUUCUCGUAAGCAUCUUGCAACCCUGUUGAACUGAACCCAUUAGACGAAUUCUCCAUGUUGGCAGCAUAUGCAGCUACAAGCCAACCCCUCAGUGCAUCUUCACCAGUGGCGUCGUGCUCCAGUACCAUGUUGGUGCAGUUCUUUUUACUCCGGCUGAUAACAAAUUUCUCAUUGGGGAACAUCUCUUUGUAUUCUUCGAGUUUCGAAGGCUUAAUUACCCUGUGUAGAGCCUGCCCCACUUUGACGCUGCCGGCAUCUUUUAUAAGUCUUCCGGGGAACAUCAGAUCUUCAUGGUACCUUAUAUCAGCAGGGCUUGAUACUUUCCCAUCCUGGUUCGAAUUACAGGUCAAACGUGAAAAGACUGAGGCUCCGUAGUAAAAAAAAUUGAACACACUUGCUGAUCACAACCAACCUUUACAAAAUCAGCCACAAUUAGUGCAGUCCUUUGUGGAUUUAAUGUAUUUACUGGAGCGGCUUUCAUUUCCUCGACGACACUAUAAACAUGAAUCACAGACAAAAGAGGCCCGACCACCAUCUACAAGAAUAUCUCCAAAAAUAGACGCUCAGAAGCACGGACAUUCAGUUUAGAUGUUGGUUUUGUAUUUCACGAAUCGAUCUUAAUGUUUCAAAACUUUUAUAAUAACGCCAUACCUUCCCCUGCGUCGUGGAACAGACUGUAGUUGCUAGUUGAAUCCCUAGUCCCAGUCCAAGUGUAUUGAAAAGUGUUGAGAUGGCCUCUCCCUUAGCAAACAGGUCACUCAAAUUGCCUUCUUUGGCAAAUGAUGAAUAUAUUGGUAGUCUUGUUGCCCUUGCCGCAACUACUGCCAUCCCCUUUAAAAGAAAAAAAUAAUAGUUGAAUCAAAACCAAAAUAAAUGUAAAGAAAGGAUUGCUGAUAUGCAGGUCUAUGAAACGAGAGUUUUCCAAUAAGCAACAAACUAACUACAACCAGAAUAAGAGCAUGACAGCUUCUAUCCAAUGUAAGCAGUCAACACCAAGCGUCCAAAACCUAGGGGCCAUUAACAUACUGAAAAACUAAACAGACGUACCUUAGCAAAAUUGCCAAGUCCAGCUACUUCGAGAAAGAGACUAGGGCACAAUGGAGAAAUAACUUCCAACCCAGAGCCCAGAUCAUAUAGCAAAUCAGCUGUGAUAACCGUAGCUGUUAUUACAACUACACAGUGCAGAGGAAGGAGGAAAGGGGUGUAUACAAGACAAAUCAAAUUCAAGAUUAAAGAACAGAAAGCGAACCCAGUAUUCUCCAACGUUUUGGCUCAGAGUCCAUUCUAGCACCCAAAUUGCUACAUAUCAGCUUUCCAACGUGUUGCAUCCCAUCCUUCAAUAUCUGCAUGCAAUGAAAUGAAGAAUUCAACCUUAUCAGUAAACCCUGAUAUAGAUUAGAUACUAGCAAAUAUAUGAUCAAAUAACACUUACCCAACUCACGGCAGUCGCCUGAGCUGGUGUAGGUCGCAACCCUGCAGCAAAUAGUAGGGACUGAAGAAAAGUCAUUUUCAGUGGGAUAAAAAUACAGCUCUAAUAUAAACUAACGCUCCCAAACUUCCUAACUGGCAGAACGAAUGUACAAAUAUCAAAAUAGAAGAAUACUGAUAGCAUUAUAGCAAGUUAAAAAAAUACAAUUUAGCUGCAGCAAUUAUCAAAGGUACUUUGGAGAAAAAGACCUGAGUUGAUAGAACAGAUAAUGCUGCACUGGAGACAUGCUGAAGUGCCCGGAAUUGUGUGUAUCUGAGAUAACCUUCAUUUACACUGAAAAAGUUGACAGAGCAGAAGCCACAUAAAACAAUGCUAUUGACAUUAUGUUUUCAAUGAAACAAGGGUCUUCAGAUUAUGGAUAUCAAAUUUCACCUGUAUGGAUAUCCAGAAGGGAAAAACUUGUUCACGAAAGACUCAACCACCUUUCGGACUACAGGUCUUGCAUCAUCCACCACCCUCACCUUUUUGUCCCAGUUAACGGUAAGGCAUAACACAAAGUAUAUAUGAGUAACUAAUAAGUGUUCCUUAUACAGAAAACUUCAUAGUAUUUAGCAAACAAGUUUAGACAGCUGAUAGUCUACGGACUAGAAAAUUCAGAACAACCACUUCAUCAGAGUUCAAAGUUAAUUGCCUAAAGGCACCUAAUGUAAGUAACCAAGAACAUUAGUAAGACCCAGCAGAGCUUGCUGUCCGCAAGUCCAAACAAUUCACAUUUUAAGCGUUCAUGGUACGAAGCCAGGAUCUGAAGAUACAAAAUUUAUUGAAGCAUGCAGCAGGCUUAUCAACCUAUUUCAAUGGAGGUGUUUCACAUUUUCAAAAUGCUGAAUUUCAUGUUCAACCUCCUUUCUUUGCCAUCGUGAAAACGCCAAUGGAAACUCAGAAUAAUGAAUUCCGUGAACAUGAAACGUAACCCUAAAAUUCACAUGCACUGAGCAAGAAUAUGCAGAUAGUCCUCAAAAUGAACAUUCGGGCUACUGAAUUCGACGGAAACCAACAAAAACCAUACAAAUCAAGUAUUCACAUUAUGCUCCCAUUGCCAAGGCUGGAAAGCGUAAGGAACUGUGCAUGCCAAGUGUUUGUUAAAUUGCGCAAUCGACGGGAAAAUUUUCAAAAUGAACAGGACAAAAGAUGACAAGGGAAAUAAAGAUAGAACACUCACAGAAAGGUAACCGUCGGGUUCGAACUGGAAACGACGGGAAACAGAAUCAGAGGCUUCAAUCCAGCUGACUUCCAUCUCCGGUGCUUUGUCAGGCUCCUUCUUUUGCAAGACAAUUUUAUCCUAGUUGUACAAAUUACAAAUAUCCGAGAAAAAAGAAGAAGAAGAAGAAGAAGAAGAAGAAGAAGAAGAGCGAAGGAACGAGAAAACACAAAAGAGACUGAAACGCAUCAGCUUUAGGCGGCAGAGAAUUUGGAUUACAAACCCCUUAAUGGACCAGAGCAUAGAAAUUACCAGUAAGGGUAGUUUCACGUUCAUCGAGCGACAGCACGAUCGUUAAAAAUGGGGAAGGUGGAGCAGAAUCACGGCUAUCCUCCGGCUAGAGCUUGCGAAGCUGACGUCCUCCUGCGAUAAACCCAAGACUGCCGGAAAAGAAAGAAGGUGAAGCAAGCAGGUCAUCUCAAAGUCGACUGACAAUAUAAUUGCAGUUGAGAACGGCAGCGUACAGACUGGGAACCGGACAACCGGACGGGUUUUGAAAAUUUGUACAAUCAUGGAAAUUUUGGGUUAGGUUACUGGUAGAUUAUUUUAGGGGAUAAGUAGGCUCGGCGAUAUUAAUCGUUUAAUCGUUUAAUUGAUUAUAAUUUUAUCGAAUUUGAUGGUUAUUAAUCGUAUUGAUUGGAUAUUUUGAGGUUACGGUUAUAAUAGUUAAUUGCUAGGAAUGAGUAAGGUUAGGUUAUGGGUUUUGUAAAAACCGCACCAUCACCGUAUGAUACCCAUAACCAUCAUCGACCCGCUAUAUAACCAACAUUUAUCCGUCAAUACAUGAGUGCAAUAAGUCCACUAGAUAACCUAAAUGUACAUGAAAUUUAUCAAGAAAACUAAAUCUAAUCUCAUUUCUCGUCUUCGAAUUCGAGGAUAUCUCUUUAUCUCCUCGUUUUCUAUAAAACUCAAUCAUUAUUCUUCGAUGGAAAAUAUCUCAUCCAUCACUUUACAGAUGAAUUAAAGUGGAUGCAUUUUGAUAUUUUAUUUUUUCAUAACGGAAAAACCGUUGGGAAUGGUUAUAAUCGUUAACCGCAUGGGUAUAGUGAUGGAAUUAAUUUUUUCACCAAAAUAAAAACGGGGAUGGUUAUGGUUAAUAACCUCCACAAAAGCGGAUGGAUAAUGGAUAUGUCACAACCAUCUCUGAACCUCUCCGUUACCCUUAUUUAAACGGAUGAGUUAGGAAUUCUAGGAAUGAGGUAGCGCACGGGUUUGUUCACCGCUUUCACGACCUUACAUCCAUCGUUAUGAGUACGCUGCCAUGAUUUGUGUUUAUCAUUUGUGAACCAUAUUUAUUUUGAGAUUACAAUCAUUAAUAAUACAAAAGACCAACUUCAGAAAAAAAAACCAUGAAUUGUUUUAAUAUAUACAUAUUUCUACAUCUUACUCCUUUCAAUUUCUUAGUUAAACUUGAAUUUGUCAAAAAAAAUUAAUAAAGAUUAUAAUUUUGUCAUAAUGAUAAAACGAGAAGCCUCAUGAAUCCUACUGACAUACCUCCUAGUUUGCAAGGUGCAAAGAUAAGCGCAAUCGUCGAAAACAUAGCCGGAAAAAUCCACGUGAUCGAUUGCAAGCCAACAUCGGCGAUCCGGUUUGAGGUUCUUAAGAAAUCCUUGGACUACAAGGAUUUCCCAAGUUGGAGGUGGAAAGCUCUGCCGCCGCCUCCUCUGCCUCCAAACUCUAGAAUCUUGGGCUACUCCGUUCUGGCCCACAAGUUGUUUGUGCAAAGCGGCUUCGAUGGAGAUGUGUAUUUUUUCGACACAAAAUCUUGGCUCCUGUUUCGAGAACCUUUGUUCCGACGACCUCUUACUUCCGAUCUUCAUGAUUUCCAACUUAUUGGGGGGGGGGGGGGGGGCCGCUGGGUGAACUCCCCCGGGCCGGGGGGGGGGGGGGGGGGGGAUGAAGGAAGGUAAGAAUAAUGACAACCUCCAUGUGUUUGUAGCGCAUGAAGGGGAUUUCGAUCUGAUUGGGGAGAACAAAUAUCUAGGGGCGUUUCUUGUGGACGGAGAAAGGCGGCUGGUGAGGUAUCAGAGAUUAGCGACGGCGUUUGGAAAUGGUGCAGGUGGCACUGAUAGCAAUUAUUAUAGUGAAUUUGGAGAUUUUUAUCCGGAAGAGUAUCCUUACUGAGUGGUUGAUAUGGGGGUGGAGUGAUAUGCGACGAUGGUUGCGACGUCGUGUGGGUAUCAAUGUUAAGGCUGGGUUGGACGUCAUCGGUUAAGUUGAGUUUAAGCGGAGAAGCUGGAUUGGAUGUGGAGGAGUUUCUGGAUGUGGAGGUGUUGGAGAAGAGGAUUUAUGGAUUGGAUGAAUUGAAGGAAUCCCUGCGUUCUCCCAUUUCAAAUGUCUUCUUGCUUUCAUAAUCGAAAUGUUGUUUUAUAGACAUUCAAACCAAAAGGGAGCCUAGUGCCUAUGUGCCAAUCCAUUCUUGCAUGUUACGCAUGAUCCUAAAAAGACCAAAUUUAUUCGUGUGCCUCUGAUUCGAGGAACCGAUUUAAGUAUUAACACUAUCUACAUCAUCAUAUCCGGAUCAUCAUCAUAGUCAAAGUCAGGGUCUGCUGAAGCUUUGAUUCUCUUGACAUCCCUUAGUGCGCCUCUUCCCCUCUUUGGUUUGCCUCUGAUGAUUGCAGAAAUGACGGGUUAGCAAAGACUACUUAAGUCUGUCCAGCAACUUAAUAAUAUGAUCUGUUAACAAUACUUACUGCCCGGUUGCAUAUAUGCCUCCACCCUUAGACCGACCUAGACCGAAAUCUGAUUUCCCAUCUACGGUAAACCAACAUUGAAUCUCAGAAAAGAGCACAAAGUUUUGUCAAAAAUCUCAACUUUGUAUGUGGAACAGACUACUCACCGUCUCGCCCAACUGCUUGCUCCUCAGCCUGGCCAGCCCACGACAUAAGUAAAUGAGGAAGAUAAUAUCGUAUAUACAUAAUACAUAAAGACAUCAUGACACUCACAGCUAUAGAAAGUGACAGUUUGAGUUGAAAGGGUACAUACUGCAGGUGAGGUAACUGAAGAUAAUGAGAACAGUCUAUCGUCAGGUUGAAACUUCCUAGACCGCUUCAAGCUGCAACAAUUCGAAAAAACAGUAAAGAUAAGCUAUCAUCUACUAACAUUGAUAUUUCUUCAUCACAGUUGCACAGGAAUAUAACUGAUUGGUGACUGUGGUCUCUAUCUCACGCAAUUGUUCUUUUUAACUUCUGGCUUCAUCAGCAGUCAUAGUACUGACUACUGUGUGAAAGAAGUUUGCUUUACAAUCUAUUAUUAACAUAUAGAAUCGACUAGUGAAUGCAAAUGAUUGUUCUAGAGUGGUUCAAGUGAAAAACAAAAGCCUAUCUUCUGCACAUGAAUGUAUCAUUUCAAAUCAAUCUCAUGCUUCAUUUAGACAACUGAACUUCAACAUUGAGAAAAGGAUAGUAAUUGUGAAAGAUAAAAGUAAGGUUUUAGAGGCACAGAGACAAUUAUAAUACAAACAGUUAGUGCUGCAUACAGUGCAGUGUUCUUAGUUGAAGAUAAGAAUCCUUCGAAACCUUUCACUACAUUGCCACACUGGCUUGGAUCCUGCAAGUAGUUUGUCUCCAUAUCAUACACCUGUAAAAAAACAAUAACCCCAUCACCCCAUUUCAUCAGACUCCAGAAAAUGCAACUUAUUUCCUCCCAAUUUCCAGCAAAGGGAGCUUACUCAGCUAAACACAAAAACGGAGAAGUAGAAAGGGGCAAAAGGAGAACCUGUUUUUCAAUGGUUCGUAGCUCUUCGUGGAGCUUGGCGCUCUUGCUGAGAAUAGCACUGAUGAUCGCAGAAGGAUUUGCUGAUGCUCCUUGCUGACCUAGGCCCCAAAAUAAACAAAGUUUUUGAUCGGUUAGGUUGGUACGUAAACUGGGAUUGGUUAUGCACGUUGAAACCAGAGCUGAGAAAAAUGAUCACUGAACCAAAUACUUACCUUCGGGAUCCAUGUUUUCGCGCGAAAUUGUUUGAACAAUCGAGGGAUCGACAAUUUGGAACCCUAGUUCCCGAAAUUAGGAUUCAAAUGAAUUGAAACAAUGAUCUAUAUAUGCUUCUUUCCACAAGACACAGUUUCGAGCUAAUAAAAUUGCAAGGAAAAUUUUAAUGUUAAUCAGUCCGAAUUUCCAGGCAAUACGGAAACUUAGGUCUCCCAGAGCUGCUGCGGCCUGCCGGUGGACAUCUACGUUUAGGCUCACUAUCAUCAGGCCCAGCCAUUUAGGCCUUUGAGGGCCCAUGUGUUGUUUGAUUUUGGGAUCCAUCAAACGUAAUUUGAAAAAAUCAGUGAUUUAAAAUAUUGAAACAAAUCAAAUUUAUAAUAAAUAACUUUUUUGUUUAGGGGAGUUUUGAAGAUAUACAUUUUUAAUUUAUGUAAAAAAAUUUAAUUAAUUUAUUUGAUAAAUGGUCAAUGGAGGAGGUUUGAAAUUCAGAAAUUAGGAGAUUAUAGUCUUACAAUCAUACAAACAAUCCCUUUCAAUUAAUUUUGAAAUUUCAAAUUAUGUUAUCGCUAAUUCUAAAUAUCUCCGGCGCAAAAGAAGGAGUUACGUCUUCAAUCUGUCCAUGGAGCUUUUCCAAAGGUGUAGGUAACUAUAUCAUGGCAUAAAGUUGUUGUUGUUUUACAAAAAAUUCUUUCGACGGUUAAGUGAUGUUGUCAUUAAGUAAAUUUUGGGGUUGUCAGCCAUCAACUAAGAUGAAAUUGAUAAUGUCAUUACACGCAUGCCAAAAUAAUUGUGGAUUCAGAAUUUUAAAUCCAAAAUCUUCGAAAACAAAAACAGGUGCUAUAAUUAACUACACGCCUACCGCAUGUUUGGCAUCGCGGCUCGAGAUAAGGUUAUUGGUUUGAUAUCUCUUUCGAGGGUGAUGAUAACUUUCCUUGGUAGAGAGCUGAAACGUUUACAAACAACAUUUAACUUGCAAAAACUUCAACCACACAGAUUCCGAACGAAACAGGAAGCACUAUAUAGAAUUGCAAGUUAUGCUACACCCAACUUCAACGAUGACAAAAGAGAAAAAACAAAGCAAAAUGGAACACAAAUUUACUACUACUACUCCUCUGUUACUCACUUAACCUAAAUCGUUUCCGCAGCUAACCGAAAUCGAAAACCUCUCAUUACUUUCCUUAAGCAACCACUGGAACAGUCCUAUUGUUCCCAUUAUUAUUAUUAUUAUCUUCUUGUUCAUUCUCACCGGACAUCUCUUCCAACGACUUCCCUUUCGACUCCGGCACCAAGAACGUAAACAACAUCCCCAACAAAUUCACCACACCCAGCACAAUCAACGAGUUCUUCACCCCGAUACCCGCCGGAUACCCUGCAUCCGCCUUCGCUGGAUCCUGAUUUUGCGCCAAGUAUAAGAACCCAAACGCUCCGACUAUCGCUCCCAAUUUCCCGGCCGCCGACGAAAUCCCGUGGCAGGUAGACCUCACCCUGGCCGGGAAAAUCUCCGCGGGGACCACAAACGUCGUCGCAUUGGGGCCGAAAUUCGCGAAGAAGAAAGUCAGCGCGUACAGCACCACGAACCCGAUGUGGUUCCCCUUGUGAGUCCAGUGGUUGUACGGAAUUGCCAGGGCGAACAUGAACACCGUCAUGAAGAAGAACCCCAUCAAUUGGAUCGCGAACCUCCCGAUUACGUCGAUCAGGAAGACAGUGAACCAGUAUCCCGGAACUGUACUGCAGAUGGCGAUUAGGGUCUGAGCUCUGGCGAUUUUGUAAACCUCCUCAACCGCGUUCAUCGUCUUGGCCGGCGGGAUCCACCCCACCGCGCUGAAUAUGUCCUUCUGGAAUAGAUUCUGACUGUAGUACGCUAUGUCGAGUAAGAACCAAGUCGUCGUCGUGCCUAACAAGUGCUUGCCGUGACGGCGGAGGAAUUCUCUGGAGAACAAUCCGUACUCUUGCUUCUGAUCCUCCCCUGUGGAAAUUACUGUACUGACCUUGUCGUCCUCUGCUUCGAUAUCCUUCUGCAGAACCUUAGACAUGUCUUUCGCCGCUCGAUUUGCGUCCUUGGCCACCAGGGCAGUGUACCUGCAUGGCGUAACGAGGAGAGAAACAUACAGUAAUCAGAAUUCGAAUAAAAAUUGUGUACAUUCGACGAACUCUAGAAAAAAUUACCUGAGCAGAAUUCUAGAAAAGUCAUAAAUAUAUACACGAUUUUUUAGUACCUGGCAGUCUCCGGCAUCUUCGAUCUCGAAUAGUACGUCAUCGCAGCGGGCAAAGCACCGACCAUGAGAAUUAUACGCCACACGUAAUCCGCCUGCGGGACGGUGGAGGCGUCGGCGUCCACCUCAUAAGCCGGAGCUCCGAACUGGCUGUUGAAAACAGAGGAGAUGAUCAUACCGAAGAUCCCUCCGGUCAAGAUUCCAAACCCUUGCAUAGCGAAAACAGCAGCGAUGAAAGCUCCUCUAGUCUUCUUGUUAGCAUAUUCCGACAUGAUGGUAGCCGACAAGGGGUAAUCGCCGCCGAUUCCGAAGCCAAGCCAGAACCGGAAGAAACAGAGCGUGGUCAUCACGGUCUUUGGCUCGUUCCCGAAGGAGAGUCCGGACGCGAUCGAGCAGAUCACCAUGAGCAUGAGAGUGAGUCCGUAGACCCUUUUCCGGCCCAUCUUGUCGCCGAGCCAACCGAAGAAGAGCUGUCCGGCGAGGGUACCGCAGAGGGCGACGCCGUUGACGGCAGCGGAGACAUUCGGCGGGAGAGAUCCUGGUUUUGAGGAUCCGGGGACGUGGUAGUAGAUUCGGCCGAGGAGCUUUGUGACUAGGGAAAUGCAGAAUAAGUCGUAGGCGUCUGUGAAGAAGCCCAUGCCGGCGAUUACCACGGCGGUGAAGUGGUACCAUUGUGUCUUGGCCACGUCCAGUGCAUUCAGAACUUUUAAGUCACCCGCCAUGGCUUCCCUGCUUGUUGGAUUCAGUUAGGAAACUGCAAUUAAAGUGUAAUUAAAGUUUAAUUUGAUUUUGAUUUGGAAAACGAUAAUGAAGAUUAUUUCUAAAUAGAGAUCCUAUACUUAAGGCCACAUUAUCUCUAACCAUUUUUUCUAUAAUUUGAUACAACGAACCAUCACCUUGUUUGCCGAUGGGGAAAUUGAAUCUAGGUCAGAAAGGAAUGGCUUAAGAACUAAGAUAUAACAAUAACAAAACCAUAUGAAAAGCUAGCAUGUCAAAAUCAAAUAGAAACCUUAAAGAUGUCGACAAAAAUAAAGAUUUCCAGGUGAAAGAGAAAGAUGGAUGUUGUCGUUUAUAACCUUUUUUAUCUUUGGUAGAUCAUGCAUGCAAUAGAAGGCAAAACAAAAAACGACGAGUCGUACCUGAUGGAUGUAAACUGACUUUGUCUGCCCCGCCGGAGACAGAAGUAACGACGUACGCCUUCUUCUUUGUCGUCGCCGAUGAUCAGAGAGGUUUUCUCUCUCUCUCUGUUGGUGUUGUGUGAUAUAAUUAGGAAGAGAAAACUGAGUAAUUGUCUCCGAGCAGGACGGCGAUCUGUGGUAUUUAUAGGCAGCAGCUGCUACGUAAUCAACGGAAAAAAGUAAUUAAAAAAAAAAAAUCAACAGUAAGUAGUGAUUGUUUGUUGGAACACUGCUGCUUGUUAUUCUGGGGGAGAUAUUCCGAAGGUAUAUUCUAUAAUUCUUCUACUACACUCUUCUUUUUCGGCCCAGUUUGCCUUUCUCUAAUUCACACGGCCAACUGGCCAGCCACGAUUGCGCCCCGGUUUGGUUAAAUUUAUUGAUCACAAUCACAUGAGUUGUUGAAAAUCAUUCAUAGCCUUUAUUUCUUUUCCAGAAAAGAAACAGUUAUCGCUUAUUCUGUAGCAUAUCCGCCUUUCUAAACUUAACUUGCUUGUACACUGCAUGUCUAACAACAAAUACGCUUGAAAUGUAUUUGGUCUGAUAUGCUAAGGUUUUUUUGACUUAUUUAGGAAAGCGGCCGUCGUAUUUUUGCGGUCAUAAACUCGCAACCGUUCAAUUCAUAAUUCAAUCAAUUAUAACUCGAUAAAUCUACCUCAUUGGAUUAAGUUUUGAACUUUUUGUAACAAUUAGCAUCAUAUUAUUUUCUAUGAUAAAGUGCGGGAUAUUUCUAGUAUAUAUAUAAAGUUUAUAACGUAAACGGUAGAAUUAGUCUAGUGAUAGAGUUAUACGGAUAGAAAUAUUGCUUUUAUUUUAUAUUGUAUUUAACGAAAAUUAAAUACCAAAAUUAAACAACCCUCCAACUAUAUUUCACCUUUUUACGAAAAAGAUGAUAUUCACAUGAUAAUCGUUCCAACUUAUUGCGAACUUUCGAAACAGAAGAGAUGGAUAUAAACAAAAAGAAUCUAGGUAUACAAUAUAGAAUCUUUGAGAUUGGGCUUCACACACCCUCUGAGAGAUGUAAGAACGUUUCCGCAAUUGAAUAGAACUGUUAGUCGUCGUAUUACCAUGACUUUCCCGACAAUCAGACAUUAUAAAUAUUUUUGGUCAGUGGAUGUUUAUCAUCUUUCUUGGCAAUUAGUGGAUUUAAUUGUAUUUUCAUGUUUAUGUGGGUCCCGCAUAAUGCAGGGAUGCUAAUAGAACUCAUCCAAUGUUGAUCGGUCGCAUUGUUAUGAAAACCAGACCCAACUGGCCGGUCCAACCGGACAGGACAUCGAUACCAAUUUGGCGGUUCAGACUAAUGGUCAAAAACCGGCGUUGACCCGGUUAGCCCAGUAAAAACUAGGGGUUCAGCUUGUUUUUGGGUGNNNNNNNNNNNNNNNNNNNNNNNNNNNNNNNNNNNNNNNNNNNNNNNNNNNNNNNNNNNNNNNNNNNNNNNNNNNNNNNNNNNNNNNNNNNNNNNNNNNNNNNNNNNNNNNNNNNNNNNNNNNNNNNNNNNNNNNNNNNNNNNNNNNNNNNNNNAAAAAAUUAAUUAAAAAAAAAAAAUCAACAGUAAGUAGUGAUUGUUUGUUGGAACACUGCUGCUUGUUAUUCUGGGGGAGAUAUUCCGAAGGUAUAUUCUAUAAUUCUUCUACUACACUCUUCUUUUUCGGCCCAGUUUGCCUUUCUCUAAUUCACACGGCCAACUGGCCAGCCACGAUUGCGCCCCGGUUUGGUUAAAUUUAUUGAUCACAAUCACAUGAGUUGUUGAAAAUCAUUCAUAGCCUUUAUUUCUUUUCCAGAAAAGAAACAGUUAUCGCUUAUUCUGUAGCAUAUCCGCCUUUCUAAACUUAACUUGCUUGUACACUGCAUGUCUAACAACAAAUACGCUUGAAAUGUAUUUGGUCUGAUAUGCUAAGGUUUUUUUGAGUUAUUUAGGAAAGCGGCCGUCGUAUUUUUGCGGUCAUAAACUCGCAACCGUUCAAUUCAUAAUUCAAUCAAUUAUAACUCGAUAAAUCUACCUCAUUGGAUUAAGUUUUGAACUUUUUGUAACAAUUAGCAUCAUAUUAUUUUCUAUGAUAAAGUGCGGGAUAUUUCUAGUAUAUAUAUAAAGUUUAUAACGUAAACGGUAGAAUUAGUCUAGUGAUAGAGUUAUACGGAUAGAAAUAUUGCUUUUAUUUUAUAUUGUAUUUAACGAAAAUUAAAUACCAAAAUUAAACAACCCUCCAACUAUAUUUCACCUUUUUACGAAAAAGAUGAUAUUCACAUGAUAAUCGUUCCAACUUAUUGCGAACUUUCGAAACAGAAGAGAUGGAUAUAAACAAAAAGAAUCUAGGUAUACAAUAUAGAAUCUUUGAGAUUGGGCUUCACACAACCUCUGAGAGAUGUAAGAACGUUUCCGCAAUUGAAUAGAACUGUUAGUCGUCGUAUUACCAUGACUUUCCCGACAAUCAGACAUUAUAAAUAUUUUUGGUCAGUGGAUGGUUAUCAUCUUUCUUGGCAAUUAGUGGAUUUAAUUGUAUUUUCAUGUUUAUGUGGGUCCCGCAUAAUGCCGGGAUCAUGUUUAUGUGGGUCCCGCAUAAUGCAGGGAUGCUAAUAGAACUCAUCCAAUGUUGAUCGGUCGCAUUGUUAUGAAAACCAGACCCAACUGGCCGGUCCAACCGGACAGGACAUCGAUACCAAUUUGGCGGUUCAGACUAAUGGUCAAAAACCGGCGUUGACCCGGUUAGCCCAGUAAAAACUAGGGGUUCAGCUUGUUUUUGGGUGCCGGGGUCAGACCCUUAUGAAAUUAAAACCCGACGUAGCUUUCUUAAAUUUGACAGAAAUGUUUUUUUAACAUAAAAUCUUCAUUAACUCAAACAAAACCCUGAUAAAAAAACGAAACAUUAUUUAUUUAAUAUAAUAAUUUAUGUUCUUUUAUUAUAAAUAAAAUAAUUAGAAAAACCUAAAAAACUGCCUCCGNNNNNNNNNNNNNNNNNNNNNNNNNNNNNNNNNNNNNNNNNNNNNNNNNNNNNNNNNNNNNNNNNNNNNNNNNNNNNNNNNNNNNNNNNNNNNNNNNNNNNNNNNNNNNNNNNNNNNNNNNNNNNNNAAAAAGAAUUAAAAUAUUGGCAAAAAAUUAAAAUGAAAUUCAUAAAUAAUUUUGUUUUAUAAAUUCCGAUAGAAUAUUUGUAAAUAAUUUGAUAUAUUAUAAGUUUUCAUUUAUAUAAUUUCUUUUUAUAUAAAUUCUGUCUGGUACAGUAUUUUGAUAGCUAUUACUUAUUUUAUAUUUAUUUAAUGUUCGGAACGGUUCAACAUCGAUAUGACAACGGUAUCAUAACAGUCGACUUAAAUAAUGGAAAAAAUUAUAUUAGAGAUAAGCAGCCCAUCUGUUUAGACUCCUUUGUAACCCUUAAGUUCGUGAACAAAUUUAUAAGGCACGUUUGCAUAGCAACAUGAGUGGAUUUAUAUACAAUCAUAUACCCGCACGGCUGUCAUAAAUACAAGUCAUUGUCGUUGAAUUGUCGUGGACUUAUGUGUAUUAUUAUUUCACUCUGGUUCCAUCAUUCGGCUGCUUAUUUUAUUUUCACAUAUACAUCUUCUCUGCGGCUUCCCCCACAUUGUCCCCGGCGACGUGGCAACCGGUCCAGUGUUGCUUGGAGUUGACUUGUCAGUGUUGAAUAACAUACAUGGCGUCACUCAUAGAAAUUUGAGAUUUGAUUUCAGUCCGAAUCUUUUUUGUUUUAUAUGGUUUCACUACACAAUCUAUUUGUACGAUAUAUAGUUUGUAGAUGAGUCUCUUAAGAAGUGUGUACAUACAUCAAAUAUAUGAGUACGAAAAUAUGUAUAUACACCGGAGCUCCGAUUACGGCCGUCGGAGGUAGUUGCAGAUUUCAUAAAUCUCUUAUUUAUUUAAGGCGGACACUUCGGUGAAAGCAUGUAUCCGGUACAAUAUUACGUGGCGGAAUAUUAUUGGUUGGCUUUUUUUAAUAAAAAAUAAUACUGAAUUAACACCAAAAAAUGUCAAAACGUAAAAUCACAUAGAAUUGAAGCAUAAACAAGCUAGUAUUCACUAAAACAUCAUGCGGAUAGGGUAAGAUAAUCGCUACCAAUCCUAGCACUAUCAGAUUACACUUUAAUCAGUUAGGUGUCGAUGAUUUCUCAUGUGAUUAUGGAGGGAAAAGAUGUUUAAAAAGGCAAUCCUAAUUAAUCGAGGAUGAUGAUGUUAAAUAACAUAUUCAACGGCAACAUGGCUAAAUUUUUAGAUGACGAAGUUGUUAAUUACACAAAUUUAAGAGUUUCAAUGGCUUAAAAUUGGAAAGGCUAGUCAGAACUCGCCACGUCGUGCUUGUACCCGAUACAUAUUUUCACCGAAAUGUUACCCUUUAUUUAAUAGUGUUUUAAUAGUGUUUUGAAAAUCGUGUACAUACAUCAAAUAUAUGAGUACGAAAAUAUGUAUAUACACCGGAGCUCCGAUUACGGCCGUCGGAGGUAGUUGCAGAUUUCAUAAAUCUCUUAUUUAUUUAAGGCGGACACUUCGGUGAAAGCAUGUAUCCGGUACAAUAUUACGUGGCGGAAUAUUAUUGGUUGGCUUUUUUUAAUAAAAAAUAAUAAUGAAUUAACACCUCUUCAGCUCAAACAUGAUAAUUCUACUUAAAUCAUUUGAGAUUUUAACAAAUCUCUUAAGUAUAAAGUGAAUUUAAAAUUACUUUCAAAUUCACUUCAUUUUUAUAAUUAAAUAAAAUAUUUCGAACAAAUCACCCAAAAAUCUCUUACUAAAUCUCCUUCAAAUCUAUAAAACAAACUAUUUAGUUCUUAGACUGGUUUUAAAGAGUGAUCUAAGAGUUAAAAUUGUGCCUUGAUGGAUCAAUGAUACAAAGCCAUUAACAGGGACCCGAGCCAACAUUUUAGUGAUAAUUAAGCUUGGUUUAACAAACGAAAAGGUUGGAUUGAAUUUAAAUGAUAAUAAGAAAAUUCUUUCCGUAAAACACAUUUUCAAUGAAAUUUAAAUUUCACAUUUAGUCAGCAAAAUGUUCAAAAAUUGAUCUACUUUACCUGCCAAAUCAAUUCUCAAUAGUCUCAUCAUUACCAUAAUUGGUUUUCCGUAACAUCAUUACUUCUUUCCAACUAGUUAAACUGAGGUCAGCCACUAAGUUUCAAAGCUUAAUACCUAACUAGCUAUACUCUAAUUUAACACAUAAAAGUGGAAAGUUGGCACAGUUCCUUUUGCUUCAUCCUCAAACUUUGAUUUGGAUGGAUGAUUUAGACUUUAAAAAAAAUUUCAUCUUAAAUCAUCCGAUUAAAAAAAAAAAAAAUUAUAAAAAAUUUAAAAUUACUUUAUGGGUCUAAAUAUUUGAACCCUAGUUGUGUUGUGGGUGUGUGUCAACUUUGAAUUGAACUAAGCAGUUGAAGAAAUUAAGUGGCGAGUGGGCGGAAGGCAGUGGCUAGAAAGAACAACCAGCGGUCAAAGUUGCCGGAAUGCCACAUUCUGUGUACCAUUUGCUUUUGACUAAACCUAAUCGAAUAAUCGAAUCUCUACUAAUUAAUUAAUUAAUUAAUUAAUUAUUCACUUGCCACUAUAUGUAAAUAUACUGUAGCUUGCCUAUAUUCAGAGAACCAUAAAAAAAUAAGAAAAUUAUUUUCCGGCCACUUAGUAGUUUCCCCAAAGUAGUUCAGCAAUGAUGGUGAACGAGGAAAAAAGAUGGGUACCCAAGGAAUGUUUUCAAAGGUCAAAUUCGAUCAUCGGAUUGUUAUAUAGGAUUUGUUAAAUAAAUAUUGACACCUGGGCUCCGAUAGAUUAAAAUGUGGUGUGAAAUUGUUAAUUGUUCAUCUUGUUUAUUAAUUAUGAUGAUAUGAAUGAAGUAUAUUUUGUGACUAUUUAUUUACCGUUUUUGUGCAAUAAUCUACUGCAAAGGGGUUUAAGGAUGAGAUCUAAAAUGUUUAUCAAAUGGGUGAUAAUGAAGUUGAAAAAAAAAGAGGGUAAUAUAGUCUUUUUACUUGAUGUUUUCUCUCUUCCUUGUUUCUUCAAUUUUCAUAUUCUUUUUAGUUUACUUUCGAUUUUAGUAAUUUUCACGCGUGAAAAUUUUUGUUGUUCAAAGAUGUAUCAAACAAGAUAAGAAAAUAAAUAUACAAAAACUGUAUUUUUUUGACUCAAUAAGUUGAGAUAAAAGGUAGCACGUAUGAAUAAGAUCACUAUAAUUAAAUAAAAAUAAGAUGCAAAGUUGAUAUUUUAAAUUAUAUUGAAAUACCAAAAAUUUAAUAACAUCGUUCCUAAUUAAUUUUACAGAAGCAAUACUAAAUUUUUUUUUUCUCAUUUAAGUAUAUUUAGGCAAAAUUUUGGUGCAUAUUUACAUGACGUACAAACGCUAUGUGACAAUCUGUCAUUGGUCGUACCAAUUUAACCAAACAAAAAAUUAUACAACACCUUAAAUUCGACUAGUUAAAAUCGUGGUCACCCCAAAUAUAUGCAACAUUUUCAGUAAUACGGUGUGGGCCGUCUCAUUUUUCUAUAACUCUCUAUUUCCUAUCUUCUCUCCCUUUUUUCUUCUUUAAUAAAAACUCAACAAUAGCAAAAAAAUACUCCUAGAUGCUUCGCCCGUUUGUUUUCCGACGAAAACGACAUUGACUGAGGAAGAGGCAGCGACGAAGUGGAGGUAAAUAACAACAAAACGGUGUUGGUGGAAAUUUUUACGAGAUAAAAAUCAUUUUUAGAUUUAUGUUCUUUUUUAGAUGUGAUGUUGAAUUGGAUUUGUUAUUAUUUUUAAAUUCAUAUCUAUUUUGUUAGAUCUGUAUUCUUUUUAGAUCUGAUGUUGUUUUGUCAAAUUUGUGUUUUUUUUUAAAUUUGAUGUUGUUUUGGAUAUGAUAUUGUUUGUGGAUCCAAAUUGUUAGUGAUUUUCUUAUCAUUCUUGACGGAUUAUUUUAUUUUUAUUUUGUAGAUAAUUAAAACGAGAUGGAAAGAAAAAACUAAAUUGGGAUUUAGUUUUUGGCUCAACAACUUCAAUAAUAAGAAGAAAGGGAAGAUAUUAAAUCGAAUAUGAAAAUUUAUAUUUUAUUUGUUAAAAUCUAGAUUGGUUUUAUUAGAUUCGAAAAAUUAAAAUAAACAACAUUUGUGAAGUGAAAGUUAUAUUUGUUAUUCAAAACAUUAUAUUUUAAGCAUNNNNNNNNNNNNNNNNNNNNNNNNNNNNNNNNNNNNNNNNNNNNNNNNNNNNNNNNNNNNNNNNNNNNNNNNNNNNNNNNNNNNNNNNNNNNNNNNNNNNNNNNNNNNNNNNNNNNNNNNNNNNNNNNNNNNNNNNNNNNNNNNNNNNNNNNNNNNNNNNNNNNNNNNNNUGAAGAACGUGGCCGUUAAAUCAAAACAUGACAUCAUCAUCCACAUCCAACGGUUGAGAUUUGUUGGAAGGCUCUGUCUAGACCACCUGUCGGAUCCGUAGCCGCGUUGGGGAGGUCCAGAAUGAUUCUAAAGUAGAGAGCUUCUAGAUGUUUCUCUUUUUGUUUACAUCUAAUUUUAAUCCCACCAUACCCGUGACUGAGUUCACUGUAAAUACUGGAAUAAUAAGCCCUUUUCAUCUCUACAGUAAAAAGUAAUUAAUUCUGUGGCGGCAAAAGGUCAAAAGGAAAGAGGUGGAGAGCAUAAUGAGAUAUUAGUUGGGUCAUCAUCCAACACAAAUCAGUAAAGGCAAUCAGAAUUACUGCAUUACUGAAACACCAAUAAGGGGUCGUUUGAUGGAUAGCGGAGAAAAUAUGGAAAUUAGAAAUUAUUAAAUUCGGGAGGAAAUUCAAAUGCAUUGUUUGAGUUUAAUAAAUUUGUCUUUUUUGCAUUUAAAAUAAUAAUAAUAAUAAAAUAAAAACAUGAUCUUGAACACGUAUUUUAAAAAUGUAUAUGAUAGAAAAUGUAGGUCCAUAAGAAAAAUGUCUUGCUAAAACAGUGAUACAUUAAGGCUAAUCAAACAAGUAUUUUACAAUUUCUCAUGAUUUUGUGAAAACCCUGCUAAGAAACAAGGCCUUAAUAUCCUAUUCUAUUUCCAUCAUAUGUAGCUUAAUGAAGAUGUUUUACUAAUGAUAUGGCAGCCGUGAAUAAUGCAUUUUUGGACACGAGAAAAGGCAGUGUCAAUAAUGGAUGUAUAGGAGGAGAAUAAAGAUGAAACUUAGAUAUGCUGGAAUUUGGUACGUAGGCUUGGCAUCGGAGCAGAUUGUGAAUAAUCAAUCAUCAAAAAGAAUCAUGGAAUGGGGAUCUCCAAAAUCUAAAUUGGUGUGGCUUAUUUUUUGGGAGAGUCAUACGUAUUCUAUAGACAUUGAUGUUCAUAUAGAAAAAGGACACCUACUACAACGAUGACGACCCUAAUCAUACCCUUCUCUCCUCAUUUUUGUGUGCUUAAUAUUGCAAGUCAUACUGUGGAGUGAUACGUGCCGACACCAAAUGACUCAUCGUUCUGAUGGCGACACCAAACCCUUUGUGAGAACUACAACUCCCAUUUUGAUUUGUUAUUAAUAUUGAAUCAAUUUAAGUGCUUCUUUUAGUUAUUAGUUCAAUUAGUAUAGCUCAUGAAUUGAUUUUAUACAUUUAAACGGUUCGACUAUCCUUAUUUUUUUAAAAAAACAAAAAUAUGGUGAUGAUUUAUAUUUUUUUUUGUCUGCGAUAGUUUCAGAAAAAGAGAAUUAAGAUAAUAAACAACACACAAAUCUAAAUAUCAACCUAAACUGUGAGAUCGGGCUCAACAUAGUCCGAGAAAUAUAAAUGAGCCUGACGACCCAUUUUAUGGGCAGUUCCGUUGGUGGACCGGUGGACCACCUGCACCUGCAAAUGCAGGCACGCUGCUAAGAAGGCGAGAAUCUCUGCAACAAUGAUUCCACCAGCAACACAUCGAACACUCUUGCGAGAAAGCUUGGACAGUACAGCCUCGACAUCUCCUCAAUAUCCACAUGUCAAAUGCCGUAGCGAAAGCACCACUCACAAGCGUUACGGACGACUAAAAAUUCCUUAACAUAAGGAUCAAGGAGCCUAAAUACGUCCGACCAAUUCCUCUCGAACAGAUAGGGAUCAUAGUGAUAAAUGAUAUUAUCUUAACGAGUCGAGCCAAAAUAAGAUCGGACUAAAAAUUAUUUUGAAAAGCUCAAACUGACUACUCGAUUCGGGACAUUAACAACCCUAGUUUUAUCUUUUCUUUUAGAUGUACCUAAAAAGAAAAGUUAAAAGAAUGUAAUAAGCUCCAAAUCUCCGAGGUGGUCUCCGUGAAAACUAAAUUCUCAACCUGCGCGCUAAUAAUUGGAUCAUCAUUCAUCCCUCUCGUCUUUCAGAGCAACAAGGCCGAAUAGAGUGAACUGCUCCAAAAUAGGAAUUUGAUCCCUCGCCUUUCCUUUCCGCUCUCUCCACACAAAAUCAUCCACCACCUUUCCCCCAAAUAAACCCUAGCUCGAGAAAUGAUCGACGUCGCCAUUUCUCCCAUCAUGGGAAAGAACAGAAUCGCCUGCAGGUAAAAUUACUAACAACCAAAUUGCCUUCAUGAUAAUUUCCCAUUUUCUUUGCCACGUUCUUCCAGUUGAAUGAUAUGGGUUCCAGGCGUUCGUCGACCUUUGGAUUUUGUUUAUCUGCCCCGCUAAGAAAUUUUAGUUCUUUCUUUCGUUUUUGCGGAUCCAUCUCAUAUUUCUUUUAACCUCUCUGUCUCUCUGAGUAGGCAAUGGAUUGUAAUGCAAUUGAUCAAACAGUUGGUUUCUUUGCUGCUAGUCAUGGGCAGUGGCUGCAAUGGUUGAUGUAUAUGUUGUAAAUGCCCUUAAAUGAGCCCUCUUGUGAACAUUUUCCUGUCCUUGGUCGAUUGGAAAUUGGUUUUGAGUAAUUAUUUGUGGGUUGAAAUUGCUAUCGCAUUUCCUUCCAUACCAUACCAUACCAUACCAUAAAACAUAAAAACAAUAGGAAAUGUAGCUGCUUGCUUAUUAUUUCUCUAUCCAUGAAGCUGCUUUCAGGUUCUCCUUCGAUGAUCUGGUUAAAGAAGUAAACUUGCAACAUCUGACCCUUCAGGUCAGUUUUCUCCUACCCUGUCUACUUGCUGUCUUAAGAAUCCGGUGGAUAUAUGACUAGAAAUUUUUUGUACGAGCGUGAUGAAUGACAAUGUUCAAUUGUGUAUGAGAAUACUACCUAGCUCUUCAUGGAUGAUCUGUUCAAUUGCUGAUACAUGCCAUGAUAAAAAACAUUAGUGCACAUUUCACUCUUGUGGAAGUUUCUGAAAGCAGCCAUUAGUAACAACAUCUCGUGAGGUUCUUUGACAUAAGGAAAAAGUAUAGUUACCUGCAUUGUCUUAGUUCUUGUAGUUGGAACUUGCCUUCAGAUUAUCCGAGUAAAUGGGAAUCCACCAGAUUUCACAGUUGAUUCUUUGUUUUCCUUCAAUUAGUCAGUCAAUCUGGUCGACAGAAAACAACGAAUUCAAGAGAAUAACAAUAUUUGUUUGGGUUUUGAGUUCUUCAGUAGUCUAACAGUUCUUACUUGGCUCAUGACUUUGUCACCAGAUGCCAACUUCAGAUGGAGAUGCUAUUAUUGCUCAUCUGAGGCGUACCAGGUUCAUUUUGUACUAUGUUUUCCCCCAAUAAUGUGUACUUCUUCCUCUCUUUGCUUUCUAUGUAUCAUGUGUUUGAGAGGGUAAGGUUAUGUGCUAAUGGAGAUAUCAUUGAUCCGAUCUUUGUUUUCAAAUCAUGCAGGGAAAGUUUUGCCAGAUUCAAUUUCAAGAGAAACAUACAGCUAUUCAUUGGCUUUUCCAUCUUCACUCUGGUGGUUUCUUUUCCUUCGUUCAGCGAGGAACACAUGGACUUGGAAGUUAGGGCAAUACGGCUCUGCUGUCUUGUUUCGGGCAGCAUAAUGUAUUUCCUUUUGCUCGAGUUGCACGUUCUGUUUCCCCGUAGACUAUCGCAACAAGAAUGGAGGCAGGUUCGGUUAGCCGGAUAUGUACAGGAAACCCUGAUGAUUAUUGUGCUUGUUCCAUUGCUCUAUUGCAUCUUGGAGGAAUCAUUUGUUAUACCAACACACAUAUAAUUUCGGUAAUCAUCUUCUCCAGUGUGCUCUUUUCUUCAACCAUAUAGAUUUCUUGACAUUCUUGACGUCGAGUUUUCUUUGUGCAGUUAUCUAUGGAUCUCUGUGUCCAGGUUUGAUACUUGUGUACCAACCAAAGACCCUUAAUUUCGAUAUCACCACACCUAUACAUUCUUCUUUUCUAUUUAGGAUGUUUCCAUGUAUAGAAAAGUAUCAACAGCUGACAUAAUCGUACUGCUCACAGUUGGUUUCUGGUCUUGGUGAAGCCAGAUUGUUGGAGACAUUAGGCUAUUGUUUGUAAAUGUCAUGUUAUUCACAGUGUAAUACAAGAAUGUGGCAAAGGAUUUCCCUUCUGAAACCUAUGGUGGCAAGUUUCAUCUAGUGUUUUGUAUACAAAUCCCAGAGAAAGGGAGUUUCUGAAUGCUGGUAUCUCGUUUGUUUUCGUUGGUUAACAUUUUCGAACGUUGCAGAGCUUUGUUUCAGUUUGAAACAUCAACUAAGAAGUUUUAAGAUCUCUAAACGAGCCGAGCUCUAGUCGAGCCGAGUUCAAACGAAUGAGCCGCUGAGCUGUCUGUCUGAUGUUAACUAAUGACAGUAAUAAUAAUAUCCUUGAGUCGCUGUUCAUUUGUUGAAAGAUGUAGCAAGUUAAAACUACAAGUCUGGAACGCAUUCAACUGUUCAUUAAGGGAUUUUUGUCCCAUCAAACUACAGUGUGCAAAAUUACAUUAGCACCAGCUUAGUUUCAAUCCAAUUCCUGUUCUGCAUCGAUCUCAGUUCACGUCCAGUUCAUAUUGCACAGGCGUUUCCAUUCCAAGUGGGCUGUUCCAAUUCCGAUGAAUUAAGGCCAAAUGAGUUCAGUUGGUCCACCCAACAGGGGACAGCCGUCAAAUCACCUAUGAGACUCUGACAAUGCAAGUUGAACCCCUACUCCUAUUAGCGUCACCAUUGUUAACAUGGGCGCCCCGUUGCCGGCCGACUGUCAAUUCCGAUCCUCUCCUUUAAAUUCCCAAACCAGAAUCGCUUCACCUUACGGCUGCCCAUGUUUCUGUUAUUUCCUCAGAUUAUCAGACCAGCCGACUACAAGUGCUGUUCCCCUCCUUUAAAAUCCCAAGCCAGUUACGGCUGUCUCGGUGCCGCGUUGCCAUCGGAAACCACCAUCCACCGUCAUAGCACUCUGCCAUCUUAUGCCGGAAAACCCGCCUCCCCAGCUUGAGCCUCGUCUUCAACAUGUAUCGAAGCAGCCCGUAUUGCCGUAGUACCCUCGCCGUCCCACACCUUCCUCGACCAUGUUGCUCCGCCUUUUGUCGUCGGAAAAUCCGUCCCCGCAACUCGAGUUGCGCCUACAGCAUGUGUGGAGGCUCGACACCAUUUGGAUGAACGCUGAGGUACGUAAUCACUGUUCUUCGUCUGUUACUUUUUUUCCCCUUCUUUUUCAUGGGUUUUUAAUCCGAUCUGGAAUUUCGGUGUUGUACAACUUAUUUCAGAGUUUGGAGUUACCAAAGUGAUGGGAUUUUGUAAUGAACAACUUAUGAUUCUUCCCCUUUGUCAAGCUUCCAUUUCAAGUGAGCCAUAUGUUGUUGUUUCAUUUCUCAUACGUAGUCCUUAUUCUUAGUGUUUUGAAGUGGGUUACAUGUAUAUUUUUUUCACGGGAUACGAGCAAGAGGUUUCGUGCUUAAAAAGGAAUUCAACCACAUCUAUCAAUUUUUUGCUUAAGAACCCUCUCGGUCAUUUUUCAGGUCAGAUUCCCUUUCUAUUGGCGUUCCAGGCUCUAUACCCUAUCGUGUAAAACGGUAAGAGUUUAGCCUCGCUGGUUACGUAAGGCAAUCAAUGGCUGAGAUGGAACCACCCCUAAAUUAUAUUGGAUGAAGACUUCCAUUGUUCAAGACUCAAUUAUUGUUCUUCAGCCUCAAAGCUAGAGAAGAAAAUGAAAGGAUUAGGGAGCUGUGGAAAUAGAGGCGGCCUAUAUAUAACAGCUCUUCAGCCUCAAAGCUAUAAAAGAAAAUGACGGGUUGAUCAGCUGGUUCGGUUAAGAAUCCAUCAAUGGACUCUACGAAAAUCCAAUAAUUAAAACUUCAAUGGAUGCUAUGGUUGAAGGUUUCCUCAACUCUCAAACUUUUAAGGCCAAAAAAUAUAUUUUCUCUGAUCACUGUUAGUAUAGUGGAUGUCUUUUGUGAUUUUGUGAUAUAUCCGAGGUAUUUCAAUGAUGUAGUAUCGUUUUUAAACUGUUUUGCUACACGGGUGAGAAAAUACAUGCUAUUCAACAAUUCAACGAUAAGCGGCAAAGUGCGUUCCUAAAAUCUAGUACUAUACAAAAGACAAACAGUUGUCCAAAAAUAUACAACUCAUCAGUCACAAUUACGAUGCAGAGAUCCGUAAGUAACUAUGAAUGGCCAUAUAUAUCAUCUAACAUAUAUAUGGGGUUCAGUUGCCCAUUUAACUUCAUAAAUUGUCGUCGGCGUGAACUUGACCGGUCCACACUGAUAGAAAUACCAACUACUGGAAAGCUGUUUUCCAUCCAAGCCCAUCGAAUUCGGAGUCCGAAUAUAGAGUCCGAAAAAUGGCUUCUGGAUUCGAUCUAUUAGAAAGUUCUCAUAAAUCUCAACCGUUCAAAACUAGUGCCCUAAAUCUAAUGGACUGAAAAUACGGGGCAAAAUUUACAUUUUAUAGGCAUACACAUUUGUAUAUUUAAGUAUUAUAUUAAGGGUGAAUUCUUUAGUAUACCUGAUAUAUCAAAACUUUCGGUGUGCUCAGUUUUUUUUGGUAAUGUAAAUCCAUCACCAACGUCCAUUUUCAGUUUGCGAUCUCGACGGUUCACAAUUAUUCGAAUAUUAAAUUUCUAUUUCACAUUUUAUUUUUGAUCUCAUAUAUAAUCUCAAUUUGUAAACUAAUCACUCUCUUUAAUUCCUAUAUACCAAUUGAUACAGAAAAAACACAAUUCAUUAACAUCGCACAAUCCUAUCUAACAGAUUCUAUCCACUUCCAUGUCAUCUUAUCUAACAAAUGUCACGAUAAUGAUGAUAAGGAUGCGAAGGGUACUAAGUAUAUAUAUAGUACUUAUUUGUACAAAAGCUAUACAAAUGUAUAUACACUUCUGUACUGAUGUGUACAAACCUAUUUUUAUGAUCAGUACGAUUCUCCGCACAAAGUUGUACAUCCGGUUGUCGAAAGAUAUCGGAAUCGUUGGGAAAUUGCUCGGACAGACAGAUUCUUUUUCAUCAACACUAAAGUAGUAGUAGUGAUGAGGUGGUGGGUCAAGAAGGGCAUUAUCGGUUGUCAUGUUUGCAGCAACGGCUUGAUAGUGAAUCCUAGUUCAAACGUCAUUGAUGACGACGCUUAAAGUAAAACCCCAUGGCAAGAAAACUAAUUAGUUAUAAUCCAAGGCUAAUCAGUAAUCAACACUACUACGUACUCUGUGCAUAUAUAUUUAACAAGACACUUCACAUCAGAGACCAGUGAAUGAAACUUGGGAGGGUUUCAUAUUUUCCACGCUCGUCGUCUUCCAACUGAGACCGACACUCAGUCAUGCGAAGACCUUGACAUGGAUUAAUGCAUACAAUACACGUUGCUUGUAGAAUCAGUAGUUGCUGUGAUUGAUGUUGGGUAUGAAGUUUGACGAGUGUCGUAUAUACAUUCGAAACCCUGUGUCUACUUAACAAGUGCCACGUCAUGCUACAACGUACGUGAAGAGUGUGUGUGAGUUUUCCAAUUAAUAAAAGUUAGCUUGUGAUGCAUGGCAACGGGACGGGUAUGGUUAUGCCCAGUCGUAUUCUUAUUCGACUUAGUGGGUGCCCUAAUUGACCCAUCACAGUUAGAGCCCUUUUAUUUAUAUUAGAAAUAGCUUGUGCUCGAAAAAAAUAAUAUAAUUCUCGUGUGAAAAUUAUAAAAAACCAAUCCAACCAAAUAAUAAAGAAAUGUAUGUAUAAGAUCUAAGAAUAUAUGCAAGCACUUAAAAUUGAAUAUGUAUAUUAUUGACUUGAUAAUAUUCAUUAGUAAAUAUAAUUGUGAAAUGAGUGCCGAGCAUACCAUAAUUUGAAUUCAAUGAGUAAUGUAUUAAGAAAAUUGAGAUGUAGCGAUUAAUAAAAACUAGGAAAAAUACUUAUAAAAAAAUAAAAACCUGAAAGUAUGAAUACUUGAUUUUCUAAUGUAUAUUAUACUUUUGUUAGAAACUAAUGUGUAUUCUAAAUUGGAGGGAAAAUGAAUAUAUAAAGUCACAAAAAGUUAAAUUCAUGGAAUAAAUAUAAGCCAUAUUAAUAAAACUUGGAAGUAUAAAUAUCUUAUUUUCUAAUGUAUAUUAUAUUUUUGUUAAAAUUAUUGUAUAUAUUUAAAAUUGGAGAGAAAUUUUUUAAUUAUAAUGUUGACAUACGUGUAUUCUAUAAAAUACGAAAGUCGGUUUACAACGUAUAACAGUAACUCGGGAGGUGCAACCCACAGAUAGGUCACAAGGGGGAUGUAAUAACCGAAAACGAUCAUUUACACUACAACCUAACACUCCUCGAUACCAUGUCAUAAUCUCAAGGACACUAAACUUGAAAACUGACUUGUAACCAACUAGGCAUGUGAGACACUAGUAUAUUCGCUGGCCCAUUCAUGCCUUGACUAGAUGAAAGGACAAAAUUAAGAAACAAAAGAAGUUCAAGAGAAGGAUGUAGAACAAAACAAAACGAACGAAAUUUGAUGAAACUUCAGCUAUUGAGCUUUUCAGGACGGGGAGUGAUCGUUGUCAGGGUCAAGAGCUACCCCGCAACCCCGUAUUUUUUAUGCGGGUUGGCGAGAACCGCUAGGGGUUCCCGCAUGUAACACCGGGAUGGUGAUGAUGUUAAUAACGAGGCUCGAAUCUGGUUCCAGCGAGCCAGAUGCUGCCGGCGAUUUGAGUGGGGUAGUCUUCCCUCCGGGGGCCCGACACCUGUCGGGAGUGCAUUGGUGUGGUACGAUUUUCCCGCCAACUUCAGUGGCACGACUUUGCUUUUUGACUUCAAAGCUUGUAUGCGAGGAAGGUUGUGGGGGGGAGGAGAGGGAGGAUUUGCGGUGGCGAGGGUUUAUGAGAGGGAAGAGGAGGGUUGGAAACCUUAGUGUGGUGGCGGCGGAGGAAGGAGUCGCUCCUAUAGAGAGGAGGGAAAAUAACAUUAGCAUUAGGGAGUUAGUAUUUACAUAAAAUUGAAGAGAAGAUGAAUGUAUAUAAAGUUAUAAAAAGUUAAAUUUAUGGAGUGAAUAUAAGCUUUACAUUUUUUUUUGUUACAUAUAAGACUUAUAUAAGAGCAGGUAGAAUUUUUUUUUUUUCUCGAUACAAUAAUAAUUCUCAUUUUACUAUUAUAUAUAUAUAAANNNNNNNNNNNNNNNNNNNNNNNNNNNNNNNNNNNNNNNNNNNNNNNNNNNNNNNNNNNNNNNNNNNNNNNNNNNNNNNNNNNNNNNNNNNNNNNNNNNNNNNNUUCUUAUAUAUAUAUAUAUAUUUAUUUAUUUAUUCGGUACGACUUUAAAGGUACUAGUACCCUCAACAUUUAAAAUAUCACAUUUUUAACAUUUAAAAUUUAAAAAAUAAAUCCUAAAGUCUCGAGAGUAAACAAUAAACAUUAAGGAAUGAUACUAGCAUUCUAAACACUAAAUUUUAAUCCUCAAACACAGCAUUAUAAACUCAAACUCUAAAUCAUAUCACAAACUCUAACUUUUUAUAAUAAAUCAAAAUUAAUAGGUUAUAACCUUGAAUAUUAGACUCUAUGUCUUAAUGAUAUAUCUUGAACUCUAAAUACAAAACUAUAACCUGAAAAACCAUAAUUUUAAGUCUAAAAUAUGAUAAAAUAUAAUAUAAAAAGUAUCAAUACCUUUCAAAAUAUCAAAAUGUUAUGUUACAUCUUACUGUGUGUAUUUAAUAUUACUAUUACUAAGCAAAUGUCAUUAUCCGUUAGUUAACAUCAUAGAUAUAUAGACAGCUCACUCUAAUACACACAGUAAGCUAGGGAGGGGUUGGUUUGACUGUUUUGAGUAUUUCUCCAAAUGACUUGGGAACCCAACCUCAUCCCUUGGUACGUAUGAUUAGGGUACGGUUUGGCUUGGUUCGCAACCAAGGAUUAAUAACUCCGGUUCAAUCAAGUACGACCAGCUCAUUUACAGUCAAGUCAGCUCGUAUUUAAUUAUUACUACGUAUCGAGCCGAUAUUGAACCAACUUUUUAGUAACUUUCCGAAUCAAACAUCGAGCUAUUCAGGACCAGCUUGUCACGUCAACAAUCCUACUCGAUAGAUUACAACCCACGGUACAGUGGGGGCACCUAGGUUCAAAUUAGUUGUAAAUAUGAAGAGGGUAAACAAUUAAGCUAGCAAAAAACUUGGAUACAUGCAAAAUAAAAAAAAAACAAAAACUGUACUCUAAUAUAGCAGGGAGUAAUUAUGAGUACAUUCUCGUUGCAUGUGCUUUUGUUGCCACUAUUAGAUCAAAUGAUGAUGACCAGACAACUUUUGAAAGAAACUCAAAUGGUUGUUAUUAAAUUUCUAAAUUGAAUAAAAGUUUGGAGUAUGUUUUCAUUCGAGUGGAAAAUUUAAAUUUCAACGACAUAUAUUUUGAAAGUUAAUAUUUUCAUUACAUUCAAAUUCCAAUCCGCAAUCUCACCUACAAAACGGACUAUGAGUAUAUAAAGUUCACUAUGCAUUACCCAGCCAAUUUGGAGAUCACAAAAUCCACAGUAGCAAUAUCCAAGAAGAAGAAGAAGACGAAGAAGAAGAAUUGAAGCAGCUUUUCUUUACUCUUUUAUUCCCUUUCAAUGGAGAUCGACCAAGUAAAUCAAUCCCCAACCAAGAAGAAAGAAUACAAACGAGUACUGGAGAUCAUGACUAAUUAAUGAGUAUCUAUCUCAAUACUAGAGUUGACAAUUGGAACUAUUGGAACGAGCCGACCACUCUUCGAUCAUACACUAUAUAUAUCCACGUAACAAUUGGAAUUGGCAAUUCGAUUUAUCACUCUUCGAUCACACACAAGAAUCUCUCUUCGAAAACGAACAAAACAAAAUCCAAAUCCCCAGUUGUUUCAAGAAGUAUAUAUACACUAGCUCCCAAUGUGACCAAAACUUCAUUUUCCCCCAAAAGAAUUCAAAAAUUUUCACCUUAUUUCCCCAAGUAUAUAGCUAUAGUUGAUCAGGAACUGAACCUUUUUCCGGGAUUUGGAUGAUGAUGGUGAUCGAUGAUGAUCAAUAAUUAGUAGUUGAGCUCUCAAAUAGAAGUUGCUCCAAAAAAGCAGAACCCAAAUCCUCAAAUUCGACUACUUCUUCCCUCGUUAUUACUGGACUCGAAUUCGUUACCUCAAGGUCAACCUGGUCAACAACACUUUGCUUACCUUUCCUCUUCCUGGUGAGGGCCUUUCGCUUAACAUAAUGCGUCUGCUUAAGAGCCUCAGCCGGAGAGGAACAUUUCCCAAGUCCACACCCGAUCUCCUCGAGAGAUUGACUCACUUCCUCUGCAGGGAAGUUGAGCACUGCCCUCGAACCCUGGAGAGACAGCGCCGCCUGAUCGUAGGCUAGCGCCGCCUCUUCAGGUGUGUCAAAAGUCCCCAACCACACCCUCACCCCGUGCCUCGUCGAGUCACGGAUCUCAGCCGCGUACUUCCCCCACGGCCGAGUCCUCACCCCCCUGUACGCAGACUUGUAAACAGUAGUAGUGCUGUUGUUGUUCUUUGUCUGCUUCUUCUUCUUGCCGGAGGAGGAAGUUGCUUCUUCGACUGGCGGCGGCAGCGCGUGGGAGCAAGGAUCGGAAGAGGAAGUUGAGUUUGAUGGAGGGCAGAGGAGGAAGUUGCUUGGUUCUUCUUCUUGUUGUUGUAGUUCUCCGCCGUAUGGGCUCCAGUAAUGGGUUUGCGGCGGCGGAGAAGAGAGGCAGUCUAGCGGCGAGGGGGAGGAGGAGGAGGAGUAGUAGUUGUAGUAAGGAUCCAACAUCUUUCGCCUGCGGGGGUCGUCGGAGAUGUAUGGGAUUCGGGAUUGGAGGUGUUACAGUCAGAUCGAUGGAUUGGGGGUUAUUUGAUUGAUUCAGGAGAAAGGCAAUGGAUAAAUAACUAAACACUUGUUAUUAUCACAUCUUUAUACCUACAUUAAAAGGUCAAGUGGCAGGUUGUCGUUUUCCUAUGAUUUAAUUUAGUCAUUUCUUUUUUUUUUCUCAAUUAUUUGUAUAUUAAUAGUUGUCGCAAAUUAUUUAUCAAUAUUAUACUCGAGAGUCUAAAUUCUUAUACUACGUAUUUGAAAUGACGAAUGCCAAACUACUCUACUUUUCUGGCAUUUUUUAUUAUAUUUUACUAUGAAAAUGCACAAUGAUUCCUGGGUUUUAUUUAAUAAAUACUUAUUUAUUUCUUAUUUUUUAUUUUGGAAAAAAAUAUACGAUACAAUUAUUAAUAUUGAAUUAAUGUUAGAACAUUUUCAUCUCUAAUUUUCUUUUGCAAUUGCUAAAUGAUAUGGAGGGUGACGUGACACCCAAUAAACAAUUGUUACGAAUGAAAAAAUGCUUGCUAAAUUAGCAAUGUCACCUGGAUUAAUAUUUAUACAUAAUUAAUUAAUGAGAUAAGAUUGUACGAUAAAAAUUAGUUUUAGAAAAAAAAUUAAUUUUAAUAUAUUACAAUCUGUUUGUUAAAUUUUCUAUUAAGCUAUGAAUUAUUUGACCCAUUCUAGACGAAAUUCCUAACUCCACUCCUGCACCUUAUUUUACUCACCUUUUUAAACUUCUACCGAAUCAAGAAAUGAGUUUGAUUGUCUAUUUUUGUAUAAUAUAAUAUUAAUUGAUGUAAUNNNNNNNNNNNNNNNNNNNNNNNNNNNNNNNNNNNNNNNNNNNNNNNNNNNNNNNNNNNNNNNNNNNNNNNNNNNNNNNNNNNNNNNNNNNNNNNNNNNNNNNNNNNNNNNNNNNNNNNNNNNNNNNNNNNNNNNNNNNNNNNNNNNNNNNNNNNNNNNNNNNNNNNNNNNNNNNNNNNNNNNNNNNNNNNNNNNNNNNNNNNNNNNNNNNNNNNUAUUGUAGCCCACUUGUAGAUAUAAUAUUUGUCGACUUGAUUCAAUUAAAAUAAUCCCAAUCUCUUCAGUAUGAAUUGACAUUGGAUCCUUGUAGUGACCAACCAAAACCAGUAUGCGUGUUUCCAUCUAUUAUUAUUGUUGUUGUUGUAUGUACACACUACACCGUGUUGUUGUUGUUGCCUUUGGGUGUAUAUAGUAAAUUAUGGAUGAUAUAAUACAUCUUAUUAUUUGAUCAAAAAUUAUUUUAUCAAAAAUUAAUAUAGUACAUAUUAUUGAUUAUCCUUAUUAUUAUUAUUAUUAUUAUAGAAAAUGCAUGGUAUGAGAUAAUUUGAGUUUGAUUGUUUGGUAUUUGUCAAACAUCAAUUAGUCAAUGAGAAAUAGAAAGAUAAUAUUUUCAACUUGGUAUUAUUCCCUUUGGUGUACAUAAAAAAAUUGUACCUAUAUAUAGUAGCAAUGUUGUUAUUAACUUAUGGCGUAUUGUGAACAUAAUUAUUAUGUCUAAUAAUCAAAUAUUAUUAUUAAAAAAAUUGAAGUUGGGUGGGUUUAGAUUGAGCAUUACAAGGGUAUGAUGAGCUGUUGCGCAUCUAGGCUCUUGAAUUGAAACUGAUAGAUCUUGCCUUUACCAGAAAUAGUAUAUUCAGAAAAUUGUAGUGGUCCGUUGAGCUUUAAUAAUUAUAAUAAUUAAUUAUUGUCACCCCAAAAUUGGAAUAAAAACAAUGUCUAUUCUGCUGUUACUGUUCUAGCUGUCUUUACCCCUUCACGUUCAGGAGAUUUAAUUCUCAAGUAAUUAAUUAUAUGUAAAUCUCUCUUCAGUCGUCUUCUGUCACUGAGGGCUGACUCCCCAUUCAAAAAACCAAAAUCAUCCAUAUUCCUCAUAUUAGGUUUUGUUCUACUCAGGGAGUGUCCGUUUCGGAGCAAUAGCUGGUGUGUGGUUUGGUUGGAAGGUUGAAUAUGGUAUGCGUGUUUAGGUCACUUUCUUCGAGUUGGGGACGCAUGUGAAUUUUUAGUGGACGGUUCUUCGCAGACAUAUAAGGGAAAGUAGUAAAGAGAGUAUUUAAGGGUGGGUGACAGAGGCGUAUCCGAGGCGUGUGCCCUUUAUGGGGUGAGACCUACCGGAGGUGUUGUAGCUGUGUGACAACGUAUAACCUCGACAUGAUCUGUGCGGAGAAGCAGGUGAUUAGUUGAGUAUUAUGUCUUGUGAAUUUUGUGGAGCACUUUAUAGGCCAUGGUGGCAUGAGUCUACCAUCUAUGUGCCACGUUGUGAGUGGUGAGUAGGUAGAGGCCAAAUUACGGUUAUUGGGAAUUAAUGGACGGUUAGGGAUAGUUAGGCCUGUUGCUGGGUGGGUGGACGACGUUGCCUUUGUGAUGCCGUGCGCCCACCCUUUGAUGGGACUUCAGUCAGCAUGGGUUGACUUGUCCAAUCAGAGUGACAUGGUCUGCAGGUGAAACUCUGAUUUGUUGGGCCAAUCGGACCAUUGACCGGUUCUUGUCCUUUGGUUAUAUUAUGAAAUUAUACAUCACCUAGUUGGAAAUAUUUACUUGGGCUUAAUAAGUAAUAUAAGUUAUCUCAUAAUGUCACUUGGGUCGAAAAGAAGAUUGGGGAAUUGAGUAACAUAAGUUAAAUGAACAAUAUUGGUUUUGCUUUUACUUGAGUACUUGAUACAUUAUAGCUCAAGAAAGCUUCAAGGAGGAAGUUUGAAAAAAGUUGCUCCAAGUUAGCUUAACAUAAAAGAGGAGCAAAUUAUAGCUCAACAUAAAUAUUUUAGCCAUCAUAUCUGAAAAUUAAUCACUUAUACAAAAAAUUAUCUGAAAAUUAGUUAUAGGUCUUGUUUGAAAACAUCAAACAAACCCCCCCCCCUCUCAAUAGAUAUGAAAAAUCACUUAUAAGGUUAAUUAUAUAAGUAAGACAGAUUGCUCUAUCGAUAUAAUGUUAAAUGUAGCUUAUUGAUUAUAUAACCGAAUAAUAGCUAGUUNNNNNNNNNNNNNNNNNNNNNNNNNNNNNNNNNNNNNNNNNNNNNNNNNNNNNNNNNNNNNNNNNNNNNNNNNNNNNNNNNNNNNNNNNNNNNNNNNNNNNNNNNNNNNNNNNNNNNNNNNNUUUCUUUUUUUCAUUAUAUAUAUUAUAUUUUUAAAGAUUGACAAGUUGUGUGAUCAUGUGAGGAACACAGAUUAUUCCUGACGAUCGCUUAUAACAUAUAAAGUUCUCGCAGUAAUAAUAAAAACCAUAGAUGCAAGAGCCAAAAAAUCUAAAGUUUUAGUUAAGUUUGACAAGUUGUAUAAACACUAUCAUCUAAGUAAAACAGGUUGUCUUGAUUGGCAAUAACUUAUAAUAUGUAUUCUUUAAGUAAAUAAUAAAAAUAAUAAAUAUAAUGAACCAUACACGUAUGUAAGUUAACAAAUUGUUAGAUCUGUUCAGACAUUAUAUGAAGUUAAUGACAGAUCAUGAAAGAAAGAGCAGAAGAAUCAAAUAAAACAAAACAAAACCAGCUUAAAAAUGUUGGAUGGUGGGAGAAUAUAAAUGGUGUAAGAUACCUCGGAUAUAUAGGAGAAAACCUAAGUUAGGCUGGAAUUACAAUUCUGAGAAAUUAAAAUAGAUGGAGAGACAACGAACCUGCAGCCCCGACCAUCUGCCGACAAAGCUUCAUGUGGAAGAACAUAAACCUCGUUGCUUCUUUCUGGAUCCAGAGCUUCUGCAGUUUUUUGGUAUAUUAUUGCAGCAAGUGAUGUUAGCUAGCUUAAUUAGGUUGCUGGGAAAGUUGUUUAUCUUUCUGGGAUGAACAAAUUUCUGAGAGGAAGAUAAAGCUAAGACAUAAUAGUGAAGAACCGACGACAGAACCCGGAAAAGAAGGGAAUAAUUAAACAGCGUCAUUAAAAGGAAAAACAAAAUAACAGAAAAGUGAACAUUAUCUUCAAUUGGUCCGUCGCUGACGUCAGAAAUGCGUGACGUCCGGUGGCCGCCGGUAGUGGCCACUUGUGUCUAACCAGAUUUCAGUACUUGUUGUGUAUGAUGAAAGGGUAACCUUUUUCGAAUUACUAGUGUCAACCAUGCUUAGGAAUAAGGGUUGUGACUUUAAACAAGGGUAGAGUAGCCGGUUAGGGCGCCGCGUCCUUGUCGCGUAGUGCACAACCCAUCGGCUUAAGUCUUAAACGGUGAUUCACUACGGUUAAACAGUAAGUAAUUAGGAUAUGUAUUAUUAUCGUAUUCUGUAUUUUACUUCAAUACUCAACUUAUACGUACAUUCUGAGUUUGCCUUAUUGUCCAGGAACGGUUUACUUUAAUUAAAAAGAAUUUACAAUUUUGAUGCGAAUCCAUUUAAGAUACCUCAUACCACUUCUGGUUAUAUUCAGUACACGUGUCCAUACUUGGUUGGUUCAGCCGCCGGAGUCUUGUCGCGUAGUGCCCAACUACACACAUGAAUAUUUAAUAAUGUCUUCAGUUUUCAAGGCAUAUAAUAAGCAUUACUCAUUAAACAACAAAAUUGGGGCGGGCAAACAUAACAAGACCGAGCUAACAUCUAAAUAAACACCAAUAUAUAUAUAUCAUAUCAUUCGGCUCAAAUUCGCGUAAUAAUUAAUUAGUGAAUUGUAAAGGGUUGAAUCUGAUUAAUUAUAAUUAAUUAAAAAUUAUUAGAAUUUGGUAGUAAUAUAAGUCUCGUGUGAAUACUUUACUACUAGUAAAUAUGUUCAUUCAUCAUGCCAUCAUGGUGCUAAAACUUGCCUUCCUAUAAAAAGUAAAAAUAGCUGUAAAAUCAAACCAAUUGGGAAGGCUAUUGAACUUGGCUUGAAAAUGGAGGGAGCAGGUUGAGUAAAAGCAGGUUGUUACUUUGGGCUUUGUGAAAAUAAUCCAUAUACCAAGAGGGCCUGUUGGUAUAGCUCAAUAACUGAAGCCCAUGCAAAUACUCUUUUUGUUCCGGCUAUUAGUUACAUGGUGUGUUAACGAGAAUCGUUUUAAUGAUAAAGUUGUGUAUUAUAGUAUAAAAUUUUUUAUGUUUGAAUCCAAAACAUCCUAUAAAAUAAUUUUUUUUAUAAUUUUUAUUGAAUAUAGACCGAAAGUUGGUAUAAAAAACUAGAGUUACCGAAAGUCUAAAAUUCUUUAAAAAAACUAAAAAGUAUACAGGGUUUAUACUUUGGACAGUGGAUAUAACUGCUUGAAUUUAUUAUUUUUGAACAAUCAGCUUCAUAAUAGGAAGAUUGUAAAUAACACACAACCUAAUUAAAGCCAACAAAUAUGUAAAGCUAUCUUCACAUAGCCUACAUAGAUGGUAUGUCUUUCAAACUGCUCUUAUGAUAAAUAAUUCACAUUANNNNNNNNNNNNNNNNNNNNNNNNNNAUAAAAAAGUUUGACGGACCAUUUUAUGGGCAGCUCAAUUAUCGUUUAUUAAGAUAGAUAUAUAGCCGCAAAUUAAUGAUAUACAAGGACUUUGACAAUAAUCUGUCAAAUGGUUGACAUUUAUGAAAACAUAAACAAUGCCUUCAUUAAUUACGUAGCUAAUGUCGAAAUCCAUCAACUUCCAUCAAAUCUUAGUUCUCCUUGGUUGGUUACUCAACAACAACAGCUAGUUUCGAAACAAUAACCUCCCCCAUAGAUGAGAUUCUUACGAAUUUUAUUAAAUAGUCUCAUCUUAAAAAUUAAUUCAAACGGUUUAUUUUAAAAUUAAAUAGAAACCUAUAACUAUAUCAUACCGUAUGCAUCUGACCUUUAUACAAAAAACCUUCAAUCCAACUCUUUUUCACUCGCCGAUAUAUACUAGAGUACCCAUUUCAUUUAUGGGUUGGUCAAAAUUUAAUACGAGAUAAAAAUUCGGACAAAAUUCGAAACAAAUAACCAAAAUGUACUAGAGGGGCUCCGCGUUGACCAGAUCACGUACCGAAAAACCUACUCUUUCAUUAAGGUUCGUCCUUGCAAAUUUAACAACACGAUUUGGGUGUGUGUUUUCAAUAUAAAUCUGAGUUGUUAUAACGAUAUGGUUUCACAUGUGAAAGUUAGAGAGAAUUUUAAAUAUUUUUACUGUCGAACUAAAAAAAUUAAAUCCCGAUAAAAUGACUUCGUACCCAAACAUUUCCAUUAUCCAUUGUCAUUUAAAUUUUAUCCACGAGCCAAACCAGAUCUUAAAUUGCCUACAGAGUACUUAUACAUGUGUCCUUGAGAUAUAUCGGGUAGUACGGUGCUACAGAGAGAGUCAGUCGAAUGUCUACUUAGUUUAAGCACGUCCAACAUUGUCCCAACCUAGAAAUCAACAAGUUCUUCAAGCAACUUGUCAUCCAAACACUCGAUCACUAUCACUCUCCUUUCUUCCUCCUCUAUUGUGGUGGUCGUCGUCUUCGUCGUCGGCUGGUUUCCCACCACUGACAAUGUUGCAUUUUGAUUUAUUUUAUUUCAGUCACUAGUUCAUAAUUGGAUACCGAAACAAUCAAACAGACAAUCAUUACACUGUCACUUGGUCUAAUUAGCAAAUCAACUUGAGUAAUAGAGAUAGAAAGACCCUAGAGAGAUUUACGAUCCCACUAAAGCAAUCUAGUGGGUAUUUGAAAGCGGGAUAAAAUCCGCGCAUCAAAUAACUUAUGAUUCUGCCGCCGUGCUUGAAUAAUGCAUGCAAAUCCUUUUCGCUGCAUUUACAGAGUUUUGUAUUGGAGCGGAUUAGGUCGACUUAUUAAUCUGAUGGAAACCUUGUUAAUAAUUAAUUUCCAAGUAAGAAAACGUGAGGUGCAUUCAUCUAGUAGACCCUUAACCCAGAUUAAAGUUACAAAAAUAAUUUGGAGGAUUCACUGUUGUCGUGCUAUGGAUGUGACUGGGAUUAGCUAGAUGCAAUGGAGCUCAUUGGUUUUUAUAUUUUGAUGUUUAAGAGCUGGUUUGUUCAGUGCCUUUAUUUCUCAUUUUUCUAAGUGUGGUCCUGGUAAAGUAGAUCGUGAAUUUGAUUGCCUACUGAGUGAUUUAACCCACUCGUUAUAUACAAUUAAAAUUGUCCCAAUCCUGUUCCUAUUCCUAGUCUAUAUAAACAAUUAUAUUGGUUGUUAAUGAUUGAUUCAUUUGUUGAACGAUACAAAUUAAUUUGUCUGUCUGUGCAUCUUGCUAAUGCAAGUACAAACAACUGAUAUAACAAGUUUCACAUUCAAGAUUCAUUCACACUAAUUGGACCUUCUUUGAAACACUGCAUCAUUGAAAUAGUGAGGCCAAGAAAUUUCUGGUUUCAAUAGUAAAACCACCUUGUCAGGCUCCGUCUGCAGUACAAAAUCUGACUGGUUCAACUAGCAGUCCAGCCGAUCCGACUUUGAUGUACAGAGAUUGAUUUCUAUAGCCCUCGGCACAACUCGAGUAUGUGCAUGCAUGUAUAAGAUUAGAAGCAAAAACAUAGUAACAUUCUCCGCACAGAAUUCGCAGUAGUAUAUAUAUAACCUGGAGCACAAAAAUGUGCUUACAUCAAACUACAUUUUUGGGGAGUUGGGGCUGCAAAUUUCCAUCAGAAGGAAUCCUCCGAGGCAAGGGGCAAGGCCUUCCUAGGGCGUUGCUCCAUGGAGGAUUGAGUAAGAACCUUCAUCUCCAAUUGCUCCAACUGUUUACGAGCUUCCUCAAGUUCGUCCUUUGCAUUGGCUCCAUGGCUCUCCCAUGCAUCAACCACUCGCUGCUGGAAUUCGAUAGCAAGGCCAUAGCUGCAAAAAGAAACCAAGACAACCACAGGUUUAAUAAAAACAAGCAAUAGACAAAAUUAGGGUGGAAAUCGGGGCGGUUACGGUUAACCUCACCAAUUAGUAUGAGUAACUAAACCACAAUUUUAGCCAAAUCACUAACCACUAACAUCACCACAUAAGUAACGAAACUAUUUAAAAAAAACGAUAUAUACACAAAAAUCAUCAAUAUCAAUUCAAAAUUUUGAAGUUUACAACCCUAAAUUCUGUGACUAGUUAGGAGUUGAUACAAGAUAUGCUACUUGGUUUCUAAAUUUCAUUGGCCAAUUAGAGUUUGAGGCGGGAUUGGCACAUUCGGUUGACCAUCAAGAUUUCACGCGUGGUUUUUUUUAUCAAAAGGAUUUCACGUGUGGUUUAAGGAAAAUAAAACUUGUAGUUUUUGUUUGUCGGUAGAUCGAGACUCUCAGUCAAUACAAAAUAGAAGAAAGGAAAUAAACAUUACAUUAGUGUCCAUUUCGUAAGGUAUACUGAAUUCUAACCCUAAAUCUCAAAGUCAUCAAACACACGAUCUACCACUCAAACAACUCUUAUAUUUACUGAGCAUAUUAUAAUUCUUUUCCAAAUACUUCACGUAGGUUAAAUGUGUUCAAUUAUUUAAGAGUUAGCUAGUAUAGGCUAAAAGAUUCUUUUUGGAUGGGUUGAGUUUUGCGGUUAACCACUAACAAAUUCUUUUUGAAAAUAAUAACUGCAAACCGCAAAUUUCAGAACCCCUAACAAAAUUUCAGCCCUAAACAGAACAAGAAAAAGGCAAAAGAUGAAAGAUCCUUACUUUUUCAUUGCAGCAUAGGCUUUUGAGAGGUUCUGGCAUGACUCUAUAGAAUCUGCAUGAUGCGGGCCGAGCGCUGAAUCCAUUAUAUCCUUGGCAACUGCAAACAUCUGUGCAGCUGACUGUGGCCGAUCCAGCUCCAAGUAUGCCGAACCCAAGUUGUUGUAGAUAUAUCCCACUCCGAAAUGCUUGGGGCCGAAGCUCUCUUUCAAUCGCUCAGCAGCACUCUCCAAGAAAGGAAUUGCUUGAAUCACCCUACCGGUCAACAGCAGUAACCAUCCGAUUCGAGCAGAGAUGCUCCCUUCCGAGUGCUGCUCCUGUGGGAGCUUCUCGACCAAAGAGAGCGUCUUUUUCAACAAAGAUAUAGCGUUUUUGAACUCAUUCAUGUUCUCAUACUGCAUUGCUAUCUCCGAGUACGCCUCCACAACUUCGACGGGAGAGACCUUCUCCUUCUUCUCGAGAAUUCCGCGUGAAAUUUCAAGACACUUCUUCGCAUCUGCGAAUUUCUCCUGACUGGAUAGAGCCUUCGCCAUCGAGAUAAACACCAACGCGCGAUUCUCGCUGUCUUUCUCAGUCUGCUGCACUAUACUCUUCAGCGUCCCGAUCGCCUCGUCGAACUUCCCCAGCGCAAUCUGCAUAUUGGCAGCAUCGAUCUCCGCACGCAACAGAUCAGCACUAAGCCCCCAAUUCCGAAGAACCUUCUGCGAGAGCUCGUUCUGCUCGAGAGCCUUCUCGUGCUCCUCCAGUCCACUGUAGAUCACACCGAGAAGCCUCCUAUCGUGUGCAACUUCGACCGAGUUAUUCCCCAAUCCAUUCAAGUGUAUCUCCAGCGCUUUCUUCGCAAACGGUAACGCCUCCUUGAAAUUUAACACAGCUACAUAAGCAUCUGCCAAAUCCCUAUUCGCAACACCGAACUCUUUACCAUCCUUGUCCAAGAUCACACCUUUGAUAUCUAAGCAAGUUCUCAAAUUCUCAAGAGCUUCUUCUCUCCGCCCAAUUGCGGUCUUAACAUUGGCCAAUUCGGCAAGGACUGCGUGCCUUAAGGGCAAGAUGUCCUCAAUUUUAUCAGCAUUCCCAUCUUCUUCCAACACAACCAACAUCCUAUUAGCUCUACUCAAGUACCCUAAACUAUCACUAAACCUUUUCAAUCUGUAACAUACGGAACCAAUCAACUGUAACGCCAUGGAAACGUAAAAGGAGUUGAUCUUACUAUUAAUGCUGUUGUCAUCAUCUCUAUCGAGAAGUUGUAAAGCCUUAGUAGCGAAAGCUAGGGUGUUUUGAGGGUCAACAUUUUGGUCCCGAUCGAGUUGAAGCCCGACUUUCAAAGCCGGCAACGCAAGCUCUCGCUCGUGGAAAGAAGCCUCCAUCUGUUGGAAAAUCCUGAGCAUUUCCUUGGUUGUCUCGGCGGACUCCAGCGCAUCCUCGAGCUGUGAUUUUUCGCGUAAUUUCCUUUGCCUCAGCGGCGGUGGGAUCUCGACUAGGGUGUUCUGAGAUGGGUCGGCGGAUAAGAAGCGGGGUUUGAUGAAAAGAGCUUGGGUUCUGGCGCAGGGUUUAUUGAGAUUGCUAGAUGAUGUGGAGUGGAGAGAUGAAGGAGAUAAUGAUGAUGAUGGGUAGUCGGAGACAUGGUGGUACUCUCUGGUGAGCAGAGGGGGAAAUGAAGUUUUGGAAUUUGGGCGAGUGAGCCUGGAGAGAAGUGAAAUCGAAAAUCUCUUCAUCGUGUGAUGAUCUUCUGUGGACGAAGUAACUGGUUACUAUGAUUUUUCUCACUGGUGAAGACGAUGUAGGUAAUUGGAACUUCUGUAAACCCUAGCUAAAACCCCAACGCAGAACAGGGGUAUUUUACCUAAAUGGUCCUCUACGUAUUGUCCGGGUACAGAACAAUUCUUUAUGAAUCGAUUUCAACACCAAUAUUCUUGAUGUUUUCUGAGUCAGCAUCGUAUGUCGGCUCACAACACCUGAUGUUACCGCCAAAAAGAUCCGCUCUUGGGCACAAGAAAGAAAAGCAGCUGCUGCUUAAUUCUGGGUUUCCUUGACAAUAAACAAAUGGCGUCAACUCAGUCAAAGUGUCCGCCUUUCGACUUCUCUGCUAAAUACUACUACACCAAUGGCGGAGGGUGCAUUCGGCAGAACAGCUUCUUUGACGGGAAACCAAUACUAAGUCAAGGAGUAGGCUACUCUCUCAUCCUCGGCUGCGGCGCCUUUUUCGCUCUCUUCACUUCUUUUCUGGUAGUCUUCUUCCCACCUUUCAGUUUCCCCCCUUCUUAAACAUAUUCAGACAUUUGAGUAACUUUUGCGGCUUGUGAGUUAUUUCAGGUGUGGGUGGAGAAAAGAUACUUAGGGUCCCGCCACACUUCAGAAUGGUUCAACACCGCCGGAAGAAACGUCAAAACUGGCCUUAUUGCCACUGUUAUUGUCUCCCAGGUUACUCUUAUUGAGUUAUCAGUAUUGUUUUGUUUUGAUUAAACCCAAAGUGAAGCUUGAGAUUGUCAAGUUUCGAUUUCAAUUUAUCAUAUAGUGGACGUCGGCAGCUAAAAUCUUGCAAAGCUCCAAUGUGGCAUGGCAAUAUGGGGUGAGUGGACCAUUCUGGUAUACGAGUGGGGUUACCAUUCAGGUUCUGCUGUUUGGAGUAAUUGCCAUAGAGAUGAAGAGAAAGGCUCCACAUGCACAUGCACUUUGUGAGAUUGUCAAAGCGAGGUAAUUUGGAAAAUUGGAUUGGAUCAGAUUGACAUAUUGAAAUUCGAAACUUCAACAUGAUUCUUUCUUUCAGAUGGGGAACUCAUGCCCACAGUAUGUUCCUCUUCUUCUGUUUCAUGACCAACAUCAUCUUCACUGCAAUGCUACUCCUUGGAGGCUCAGCAGUCGUCAAUGCACUCACCGGAGUUAAUAUCUACGCAGCCAGUUUCCUCGUCCCUCUUGGUGUCAUUCUCUACACUCUAGCCGGUGGCCUCAAGGCCACUUUCUUAGCCAGCUACAUCCACUCUCUCAUUGUUCAUGUGGCUCUAAUCGUAUUUGUCUACUUAGUCUACACAUCCAGCAGUGAACUUGGCAGUCCGGAAAUCCUGUAUCGUCGCUUGUUACAUGUUACAAGCAAAUCCAGAGUCUGCCAAGAGCCAAUCUCUCACGCUGGCCAAACAUGCGGCCCUGUCGAAGAAAACUACAACGGCUCUUACCUCACCAUGCUCAGUCCUGGAGGCCUCGUCUUUGGUAUCAUCAACAUUGUUGGCAACUUUUGCGCAGUUUUUGUCGACAAUGUGAGCUUUUCCUUUUGGCGGUUCUUCUUUAAUCUCAGUUUGUUUGUCCUAAUAACCAUGUUUUUUGGAAAGGGGUAUUGGGUGAGUGCCAUAGCUGCAAGGCCUUCCUCAACUCACAAGGGCUAUCUGUUGGGAGGCUUAGUAUGGUUUGCUGUCCCUUUCUCCCUGGCAACUUCACUGGGGCUAGGAGCUGUUGCACUGGUCGUCCCCAUAACUCAGACAGAAGCCAGUCGUGGACUUGUUCCUGCUGCCACUGCUACUGCCUUGAUGGGAAAAUCAGGAUCUGUUCUUCUUCUCACCAUGCUUUUCAUGUAAGCCUUCCGAACGAUUUAUGCCCACCACAACCGGAACUUGUUUCUCGUGUAACAGGUUAUAGACGAUUAUAACUUGUUACACAAGUUACAGACAAUCAUAACAUGUUAUUCGUGUAACCUGUUACAUACAAUUAUAACAUGUUACGAAAAUGUGCCGGAAAAUUCGUUGGAGAUUCACCGGAGACUCGGCGGACUAGCAGGGGAAGGAAGUUUAAUGAGUAGCUAUAAAUUUGAUUUCUUUACAGGGCUGUGAGUUCUGCUGGAUCAUCUGAACUAAUUGCAGUGUCCUCGUUGUGCACGUACGAUAUCUACCGCACCUACAUUAAUCCUAAUGCGAGGGGGAAAAAGAUCCUACUAGUAUCAAGGGCAGUGGUGUUGUGUUUUGGAUGCUUCAUGGGUUUGCUGGCUGUAAUACUGAACAAGGCUGGAGUUUCAUUAGGUUGGAUGUAUCUAGCCAUGGGAAUGUUGAUUGGCUCAGCUGUUAUCCCAAUUGCUUUCAUGCUCCUUUGGAGGAAAGCCAACGCAAUAGGUGCCAUACUGGGAACUUUAAUAGGCUGCCUUCUGGGAAUAGCCACCUGAAUAUCACUUACGAAGAUCAAGUAUGGCUGAAUUGAUCUGGACACAACAGGCAGAAAUGCCCCGGCGCUGGCUGGUAACCUUGUCUCCAUACUAACUGGAGGAGCUAUACAUGCUUUGUGCAGUUUGGUAUGGCCGCAGAACUAUGGAUGGGAUACAACAAGGAAGAUCACAACCGUCGAGAAGGAGAUUAAUAGUGAAACUUCCGGCUGAAGAGUUCAAAGAGGAGAAGCUCAAGAGGGCCAAAGCCUGGAUUGUCAAAUGGGGAAUUGCUUUCACUCUUGUUAUCGUUGUAUUGUGGCCACUUCUCAGCCUUCCAGCUAGUAAGUUUGCUUAUCCUUGUAUUUUCACUUGCUUGUCACUGGAAAGGACUAUAACAAGUUAUAAGUCUCAUUUGUGUGUCAAAAUGCAGGGGAGUUCAACUUGGGAUACUUCACUUUCCGGGCUGCGAUUUCCAUAGCAUGGGGCACCAUUGGAUCGGCAGUGAUUAUCGCUCUCACUUUGAUCGAAAUUCAGGAUACCAUCAAAAAUUUGUUCCUUGGGAUGUUUACAAAUGACAGGCUAAUGAAGAAACUUGAAGAAAUUGACACAAAGCUGGAAACUAUCAUACUGAGUAUUCCUGAAGCCGAAAUUUCAUACCUGCUUCAGAAGGAUAAUAAAGCUAAGAAGAGACGUGAGUCUCCAUCUGAAGCUUAGUUUGCUCUCUGCCACUAGCUUUCUCAUGUAAAUAAGCUAGUAAGACUCCGCGGUUGGAUGUAUAGCAGCUAGCAUCAACAUGGCAUGCUGCUUAGUGAUUUAAAUUAACAUAUUUUUAGAGCAUCUCUAAUGCUAAGUGCUAAAGUGCCAUCUUAAACCAUUGAAGAUGGUGUUAAUGGUGAAAGUAAAACCUGUGCAAGAAUCUUUAGUUGGUAAGAUCAAAAGUCAGGUGGUACAAUGAGAAUCGGAGCCUAUAUAUACAUGGAAGUGAGAUGAUCACAAAUUCACAAGUUAUAACUGAUGCAGGUUAUCACAAGAUACAAAGGCAAUUCUCCUACUCAGGCGAAUCUUACCUUCUUUUUUUCCUUAAUGGACUUGAUUAACUCAUUGUACUCCUCUUCCUUUCUCUCAAGUUCUUCAUUGAAUUCCUCGAUAACCCCUGUAACUGAUUUCAUCUCUAUCUUCUUCGAAUCAAGCUCAUUUUGUUGCUGCUCAACCAAGCUCCUGGUUUUCUCUACCUCCUUCUUCUUCAAACCCAACUCUUUGAGACAAUUCUCAAUUGAAUCUUUGACACCAUCCAAUUCCUUCUGUUUCAAAUCAAGCUCCACAUUACAGUCUCUAACCAACUCCUUCACUUCAUUCAACUCCUUCUCUUUCAAAUGGAGCUGACUACUACAAUCUGAAAGCAAUUCCACCAACUCAUCUGCUUCCUUCUGCUUUAAGUUAAGCUCCUUACACUUUUCCUCAACCGAUUUCUUAACUACACUGAGUUCUGCCGUUUUAUUAUUGAUGUCCUCGUAAAUCUCAUCCAAGCUCCUUUCUUUCUCCUGAAGAUCCUUUGUACACACUUCAACCUUGUUUUGAACAGCUACCAAUUUCUUCUCUUCCUCUUCAAGCAUUGAGUGACACUCCAAAACUUGACCUUUAAGCAAACCCAAUUCUUCUUUUACCUCGAGUCUCAUCUCCUCCCCACAAACUCCUAGAACCCCUCUCCUACCAUCCUCGAGCUCCUUGUUAAGUUCGAUUAUCUGAGAUUGGACAGCAAAAACCUCAGCUUGUUGAACUUCAAGAUCCUUACGAGAUUCUUCUACCUUUUUAUUAUAAAGGAUCAGCGAAUUCGCCUUUGAUUCAAGUUCCACUUUAUACAUGUUAUCUUCUAAGCGAGACUUACUGAUUGACUCGUCAAGUAGUUCUGUUUCCUUGACGGACUCAUUGAACUUCACUGCCUUCUUCUCAUAUUCUGUAUUUAAAAUCUCAAUCAUCUCUCUGACACCACUGAGUUCCUUCUGUUUCACUUGAAGCUCUUCACUACAAUUUCUACUCUUCUCCUCCAACUCGGCCAACCGCCAUUCCUCCAAUUUGUAGUUUUGGAUCAGCUCCUCCAACUCAUUCAACUCUUUCUGUUUCACCUGCAACUGAGAAGUAAAAUCUGAAAUCGAUUUCACUACUUCCUCCAUCUCCUUCUGCUUGGACGUAAGUUCGUCGACUGCAUUCGUUAGCACGCCUAAUUCUGCGGCCUUAACAGAAAUUUCCUCAUUAAUAUCACCCAAUUCCAUUUCCUUCCCCUCAAGAUUCUCUGCACAAACUUUAACCUUGUUUUGGACAGAAUCUAGUUCCUUCUCCUUCCUAUCAAGCUCAGAUCGACACUCUAAAACUUUACCUUGAAGCAAAUCCAGUUGUUCUUCCUUGACUCUCAUCUCUUGAACCUUUUUCAUUUCAUCCUCAACUUCAGUCACCUUUAAUCUGACCUUCUCCUCAGCUUCAACCACUUGCAUUUCUCGAAAGGAAAGCUCUUUCGCCUGUUCCAGCAAUCCACUCCUUACUGACUCGAAAUGUAACUCCAAAUCCUUCCAUUGAAGGAUGAGUUCCUUCAUGAUGGCGUUAUUGUGUGCUUGGAUUUCUUCAGUCUGCGCCCGCAAACAAGCUUGAGUCGACUCAGUAGCUUUGAGAUCCUCCCUCAGUUUCUCCAUUUGCACAUGAAUCAGAGAGGAAAACGUAAUAAUAAUAAAAUGUAGGGUGAGAUCGACGAACACAGGAGAAAAUCGAUUCUAGGGUUUGUUCGUCGUUGAUGAUGAAUUGGUUCUGCAACAAUUUAUGAUAAUAUUCAAAUCAGUCUAAUUGUUGAAGAUAACAAGUUCUGAAUGAAACUUAAAACGCUGCCGUAGCUAUAUUGGGGUUAAGUCAAAAGAGAACGGUCAAAGCCCAAACACAAUUAACUUGUAUUAUUAUUUUUAGGCAAAAAUCUCCCGUAUAUCUCCUAUUGAAUUUUAUAACCCAGUGGCUAUCAAACGUAUUGCUAGCCGAAUCGGCCGUCCUGUUCGUGUUGACAGGGCUACAGAGGAGGGGGCACGUAGAAAAUUUGCGAGAGUUUGCGUGGAAGUGGACUUGACAAAACCACUACUAUCCAAAUAUACUCAAGAGGGGAAAAAGUAUUUUAUCGGAUAUGAAGGCCUUAAUGAUAUCUGUACUUCCUGUGGUCUGUGCGGGGCUCAUUCCCGUCUUUGUAAGAAGCAUCCUCCUCCGGAAGAUGAUCUUAUGGUUGAUGGGUCUGGAAGUGUUAAAGAUGGAGUUAUUUCACAGGAUGAGUCUGUCUAUGGUGAGUGGACACAAAAUUAGAGAGAAAUGACCUUGCAUGCCGAUUUUGGUGUCGUCAAAUAUUUUUGUCGGCAUUUCUGUCCUGGGAGUUUUUGUUGUUGUUUGGAUUCUCCAUGUGUAGAUUAGUGUUUUUGGGGUUGACAAUGUGUUUUUUGGUGAUAGCAAAACUCAACUUACAUGCAGAGAAAGGAUUUGUAGAAUAUCAUGUUAUUGGGAUAAAGUUUUGAAUUUCUCAAACUCUCACAAGCAUGGCUAGAGUUUUGGAUUACUCUAAAUAUAAGGCUUGUGAGAAUUCGAGACAUCCAAAAACUCUAACAAGAACAUGACGUUUGUGAAAAUUCGAGACAUCAAAAUUUUAACAAGAACAUGACGCUUGUGAGAAUUCCAAAAAUCUAAAAACUCAACUAUCCCAAGAACAUGAUGCUGUAUUUAUAUGUAAAUUGAAUUUUACCAUCACCAAUAAACACAUAAUCAACCGCAAGAACGAUAAUUUAUACAUGGAGAUUAAUCCAAACAACAACUCCUAAGAUAGAAACACCUACAUAAACAAGCUACACAGACCGAAAAGCUUGCCUUUCGAGAAAUGUCUUACAAAACCACACAAUGAGAUUUUGAUUUCUACUAAAUGAGCAAGAAAGACGCCGAGUGAAUUACUGAUUUGUUAAUCUGUUGACAAAAUCAAGAGACAGAACGACACAAACUAAAAGAUCAAUGAACGAAUCGAUGGAGGGAUUUCCCAAUGGGAUGGUUGUGUUUACAGCUUCAUAAUCAGAAGGCAGAGCGGACAACAGCGUGAUCACUUGCUUACCCUCCUAAAAUUUGACUGUAACAAAAGCACCUAAGCCAACCCUUUUUCAAAUGAAUCUUAUGUACAUCAAUUAAAUCUAAGUAAUAUACAUUCUACCACAAGUUCCUUUCCACACAUGCUAAACAUUUACAGACAACCUUCCCCUUUCCAAAAGUUGUAAUCUUUUCAGAAACUACUAGGUGGGUCUUCUUCAUCAUCUUCAUUUAUCGUUCUAGUUUCACGUCUGCUGCCAUAUACGUCGUCGAAAUGGAGACUCAAGUUCCCUCCACCUUCCGUGUCAUCAUCGUACAUGUAACCAGUCCUCAACAGACUACGGGAGUUCCUUCGAUCAAGAUCAUAUUCUUGUUCCUCCUCGAGGCUUCUUUCUGAUAUGUUCUCAUCCACGUAAUUACCUGCAGGAGUGUAUCGGUUGUUGAAAUCCGGUGGCUCGAGGAAACUUGCUUGGGGCUGCGGUCCACGCAAGUUGCUUCUCGACCACCAAUGGCUUCCACUAGGAUGGACAUCGACUUGGGUCGAAUCUUGAUGGCGGAUCACACUCUCCCGGAAGAAUGGAGCAGACGUUGAAGCCUGCAUAUGGGAGUCGGGUCGAUCGUCGCUUAAAUGCUGACCGCCCCAGUAGUCAUCAUCAUCGUGCCUUGCAUCGCCCCGUGCCAAAUUGGACGGGUUCCAAAAGUCUUCGGUUUGGUGCUCAUCCACUUCAAGUUGUACAAUGUGUUCUUCUCUCCUUGUAUCAUCCCGGGGUCGGGAAGUAUAGUACCAGUCCAAAAGAUACGGAUGGUGAUUCUUUUGAUCCACGUCGAUCAACCAUAAGGAGUCGAACUGAAAUCCAGGAGUAUUAUAUGGCGUGCCCCUUGAGAAGUUUGUGUUUCUCUCUCCAGCACUUCUCAGGCUUAGGGGGCUUCCACGCAACAUUAGGUGUUGGUGGUGAUACAUAGUAUGUCUAAUUUCAGGUCCUUGCAGCUUCUGCUCCCUGAAAUUUCGAAGAUUUAGAAGGAACUGCUUCCCUUGAGCAUUUGGUUCCCACGAAGGAUAGCUACUCUUGAAACUGCGAACCCACCGUAGAAUAAGUGAAUUCAAUCAUCCAAGUGUGAGAAAUUAAGCAUUCCAGGUCUUUAUGUCGUACCUCAACAUUGAUUUUUCCAUCUUCCCCUGAGAGCUCCUUUGAGUGCGAGCUACAUUACAGGGCGAACCAUAAUUGCUAUUGCCAUGCUUUAGAAAUUCGAAGGCACUCAAACUGGCGUAACACUAUAUCAGUUAGUGAAAUGAGCAAAGACACCUGAAAAUCAAGGGUACAAAUCAAGAGCACAACACACUGACCUACAAACGUGGCCAACACCUUCCACAUCCACUGUGAAAUCUGCUAUGAAUUCCAAGAUGUCAUCAACUCGCUGCAAAAUCAGGCAUAUGAAGUGAAAAAUCGCACAUGUGAAUAAGAUGGCGACUGAGUUGGAAGAAAUUCAUACCUUCGGUACAACAAAUAAAAGCAAGAGUGGUGUGAGGAAUAUAGAUGCCAUCUCCUCAAUUAACAUCAUACCAGUAUACUGCAGCACAAAAAAACCAUAGAGCGAAGAAGUUAAAAACUUAGAACUCUCUAAAGCUGGGAAAGUAGACAAGGAGGAAAUAAGAUGGCUGUCCUUUGAGCUAAAUAUACUACACGAUGACUUACCUGAAAUAAGGUCUCGAACUCUAUUCUAACACUUUCAGUAUGCUCGUUGCUUCGCCACCUCUUUGGCAUAUAGUGUGUUUGCUGUACCACCCCUGACAUUGCUCCUUCUGGAUCGAGAACGAGAAGAUCAUCCGUCACUGCUGCCCGGCUGAUAGCUGUUAUAGUUCCAAAUACAGCAGCAUACCAAAACAAGUUGCGUCCGAAGAUCUAGAAAGUAAUUGUUGAUGUCAAGUACCAUCUUUCUUACAAAUAUGUACAAAACAGAAAAACCUCUAACCGAUGUACUCGGUUAAAGUCUUUGAGGGGCGGAAAAAUGAAUUACUCACAUGGCCCUCUAGUAAGGAUUCCUCCACAAAUGCAAUGAUCAGCAGGACAGCAGCAAAUCCACCAGAAAUGAAAGAGAUAAACUUUGCAAUGAUUGAAAUUAUAGGUGAUGGGAACUGUUUAAGAUAAUCUGAAGCAUGCACUAUACUGCUGUUGAUUCGAUGCUUGAACAAAUGGUCAACCUGUAACGCAACAGAAAAACUCUACUUCAAAGCUUAUAGGGCGCAUAUAAAAAACAGCUAGAUAGCAUUCUACCAACCACCAUUCUGGCUACACGAAACUUUAUCAUCAAGAAGAUGCCUUGGAAAUUCACUUAAUCAUUCAUAGAUGGUUUAUUUUGAAGCCACGCAGCAAAAAUUAAACUAACAGACUAAUUCGAAGAUAUUUACUUGAGCAGAAAUAUAGGAGUCUUUAAGAGCCAUGAAAAUGCAGGAAAGGAUGUGAAGCUUUUCCUUGAACCAUAUGAGAAAAUCCACUGGUUAACUAACUACAGCACGAGAGAAAAACAUAAAAGAGAUUCACCUCAUUGAAUUCUCUGAAAAUCCACCGAGACAAAUUUGACCACCGUCGAGAUGAUGCUGUGCUGGGAUGGUUGUAGAACUGUUCAGCAUGUCGUAGGAAGAGAUACACUAACAUGAAAAUAACUAGAAAUGGCGAAAGUACAAGCAUUGCGAUCCCAACAACCAUGAGUCUUUUUCUCAGUGCUUUAGGAUUAGCAACGAAGUCCAUCUUAACACAAAAGUUUCUGCAAAACAACAUAAUAAAAUUAAUAAAUUACAAUUUCCAUUCAGACAUACACAAGCACAGACAGAAUUAAUAGAUUACCUAUCAAACAUGCUCUGCAGUAUGCACCAAUUUAAGGUCCAUUCAAGAGUCUUUGUUAGAAUCAAGCGACGUUGGGUUCCAUAUGAGCCAGAUUUGACUGUUGGUCCAGCACCUGGAACCCAUGGUGAUAUAGGGAAUGCAAGAAUCCCUUUGUUGAGCAUUCCAAUCAAGUAGUUUUCUUUCCGCAUCAGUCGCAUGAUGAUAUCAUGAGCUGAUAGGUCUUUCACCACGCAGAGUUGCUGUGAGCUUUGCAGUUGAACAACCUUUUCAAGGACAGUUGCCCAUGGUAUAGUUUGAAUCUCCUUGUCUGUUACAUGAAGACUGCAAGCAAAAAUGGAAUACACUUGAUAACUGAAGCACUCAUCACAAAAAAAAAGGAGAAAAACAGAAGGGUACAAAACCGGAAAGCUUCAAACAUUCUGAUCGGCAUACAUCUUAGUUACCUGUGAUGAUAGAAUUGACGGAUCUGGAGAGUCUCCUUCAGUUGAGAGAAGAACCUGAAGAAGCAGAAGACCAAAUAGAUGGAAAAUAACCCCAAAUAUCCAACAAUGAUGGCUUUUGAUAGAGUUAAAGGGGUCAGUGGGUGCUCGUGAAGAGCUUCUUUUGCAAGAUCACAAGGCUUGGUUCCAGAUUCAACUGCAUCCAUCCCACACUUAGCAUUACGUAGACCAUUCCAGUCAACGUAGAGUAAGAAAAACCCAGAGAAACAGAUGGUGAAACCAAGGCUCAAAAGCUCAACUACCCAUUUUAAAAUAAUGCACCAAAGCCCUUUCUCACAGUAGUAACUGUAAACCCUUUCAAAGAACAAGUCCAGAUCAGCUAUUGGCUGAACGUUCAAGCUUUCACCAUUAAGAAGCCCAGAAGGGCUUUCACUACCGGGACUUGGUAUCCUUCCAUAACCAGACAAUUCAAUUUCUGGUGCCACAUCCUUAAGCAAGCCUGUUGUUGAAGUAGAGUCAUCGUGCCAUCUCCAAUUAAAUUUCCUGAGGGUGUUAGAGCUUGUCUGCCCACCGAACAUCAUUCAUAAAUACAAACAGUAUGCAAAGGCAACCACUCCAUCCCCCACAACGGUUACACCAAAGUUCUGGAAAUAAAAAGAAACUCAAAUUAACCACUUGCAGUAGCUUGAAUGUUUAGACAUUGAAAUCACAGAAGCCUCUACGAGUCCAUGAAACUACAUUUCCAGAAGUAGAAAAGAAUUUUCUAGUAAAUCAAGUCCACUACUCCCAGGUUGCAUCCA
rnacentral:lncRNA from 1 species